rnacentral:lncRNA from 1 species
CAUUUUCCAAGCUUUGUGAAUCCGUGGAGUCACGCCUCCGGCUGACCACCACUCUUAUACAUCAAUUUGAGCUUGUGCUUUUGUUUGAAACUCUAUUUUUCUUCUACUUUCAAAGCUAUAUACAAAACAUUUUCUUUCUAUUUUGAUAAUGACAAUGCUUGAAACAAACAUUUUGAAAAUUGAAAACCUUUUGUCUAUUUUGAAAAGCAAACCUGAGCAACAGGGUACAUCCAAAUGAAACAUGCAUGAGCGAGAGUAUGUUGAUGUCUAUUUCAAUAUGUGUUACAAGCAGGUUCUCCUCCAGGAUAGUCUGUGGUCAAUGGCAAGAAUGAAAAAACAGAAUGAAAAUGCAUGAAAAUGAAUAGGCUCGCUAAGUUGAAAACCCGAAAGGGCGGCUUAGGCAAAAAUGAGCACCCCGCUGGAUUGACAACCCGAAAGGGCAGUUCAGGCAAAAAUGGGGCAUUGAAAAGAAUUUAUUUCCCCGGUGGGUCGAAAACCCGAAAGGGCGAUCCAGGCAAAAAUGGGAUGCAAAAAAUGAAUGAAUGAAAAUUGAGAAAAUAACAUGCAAAAAGCAUUGACCACAGAUGCGACGUCCACGAUACAUCCGGCAUUAUUCUCAGUAGAGUCUUCCGAGAUUCUAUCCCCAGCAAGUUGCAUACCUACCUGCCCUCAGCCAUGGUUCCGAUACGUCUCCCAACGACGUCAUCUCCACAGAAGAAUUCCAAGAAUGUGUAAUAUAGCACGAGCCACUACGUGCCCAAUACUCUAAUGUCUUGUCUUCCCCGUGAAGUCGUGCCUACAAAAUGCCAACAGUCAUGCAUUACAAGCAUUCAUACAUGCAUAAUCAUGCAUAUUACGUGCCCAUGCAUUUAAUGAAACUGUUAUAUCAUCCGUGCAUAUUGCAUUUCCAAUGUCAACAUCAGUCUCAAUCCGAUACUCAUGUCAGGUUCUCUGUCAAAACCUUGUGAGCCAAUAAUAUCGGUCAAUUUCUACCUUUCAAAUCAAAUCGACGUCAAGUCAAUCUCAAUCUAUACUUUGUCAAAAAAAUCAAUCCCCAGUGAAUAUGUUUCUGUUUGGUCAAGUGGCUAGUUCAAGUCCAAGAACAGCUUGUACCCAUCAAUUUGCUUAUGUUAUCGGUCGAGUGCCCAGCUCAAUCCAAGAGCAGCUUGUACCUGUCAAUAUGUUUCCGUUUGGUCAAGUGGCUGGCUCAAUCCAAGAGCAGCUUGUACCUGUCUAUCUGUUUCUGUCCGGUAGAGUAACUAGUUCGCAUCCAAGAACAAGCUCGCACCUGUCUAUUUGCCUUGCUUUCAGUCGAGUAACCAGUUCGAAUCCUUAAGAACAACUCGUACCUGCCAAUUUUACAUGUUUUCAGUCGAGUCACCAGUUCGAAUCCGUAAGAACAACUCGUACUUGUCAAUUUUCUCUUUUUUCCAGUCGGGUCACCAGUUCGAAUCCAUAAGAACAACUCGCACUUUCCAAUAUCCCCAAGUGAGUUACCAGUUCGAAUCCAUAAGAACAACUCGUGUUUGUCCAGUAACCUCUAUCCCCUGUGAAGUUACCAGUUCGAAUCCAUAAGAACAACUCGCAGUUGUCUGUUUGUUUCAUUCCCGGUCAAGUGGCUAGUUUGAAUCCAAGAACAGCUUGUACCUGUCCAACUUGUUUCUAGUUUCCCGUUACUCUGUUAUUCACUAUCUUUGUCAAUGUCUACCAAUCCCGCAAUGGAUACGACAUAUUUUGUUAAUUCCAAUCCCCAUGAGGUCUUGCAUUCAUAAUCCAAAUGAGGCAUGGCAUGCAUAUUAUUUGAAAAUGGGUAGGCGUAUUUUUACGUCCACACACAGUACAAAUGCUAAUAUUUAAGUAUCUUCAUCCUGUCAAGCCAAAGACUCCGUCUCUUGACUCUCCAGACAAAGAAACUUAAAUAGGGGCAGCUGUUAUACCCUGUUUUUGGACCUAAAAAUACUGGGCCCAAUUUCAUUUCAAACUUUGUCAAUUAUCAAAUUUUCAACUGCACAGUUCAAAUUGUCUCUGCUACGCAGUGUUUUCAACCACAAUUUUACCUAUGUUUUUCUUGCAUAAAACCUUUCGAAAUGUCUUUACUUGUCUUGUAAGUCAUUCAAAAGUGUCUCUGAAUCAUUACUUUGCUUUUUCCACAGUUUAUUUCAAAAUUUGCAAAAAAGUCAUACAGAAGGGUACUUUGGUCAUUUCCUGCAGUGGGACCCAUUUUCAUCCUUGUGACUGUCUCUGAGUCUUUUCAGAUUGUUUUUUUACAUUUCAUCAGUAAACCUUGUUAAAUUCAUUUCAAACUUGCAUCUGAGUCAGUGUCAAGUCAAUUUGAAUCUGUUUAGGCCCUAGGGGCAUUUUGGUCAUUUCACACAAAAUUUUGGCAUAGAGAGGUUACUUUGAAGUACCUCAUUUAGGCCAUUGGUUCGUUUUAGUCCGUUUUGUCAAUUUUAUUUUAGUUUCACUUUACGUUUUGUCAGGUUACCAAUUUUAUUCCAAUUUUAUUUUUUAUUUUACAUUUUGGUCCCCAAAGAGGUCCAAAAUUGCGUAUCAGUCCAGAACUUUCUUUUUUUUUACAUUUCAAUCCUUUUUGGGUUAUUUGCAGUUUAGUCCUUAAAGUUUUUGUUUUUGCAGAAAAGUCCAAAGUUCAUUCUAGGACCAAGGCCGUGCCACUUUGAUACAAGUCCAGAUGUCACAAUUCCAUUGGCUCAAGUGUACACAUGUCAGCUAUAAAUACAUUGAGUCAGAAUCAGAAGCAAUAAUUACACGCCACAUCACAAACAGAAACCACAAUCUCUCUCCUUUCAGUUACAGAUCAAAAUCAUCAAGUUCAUCAAGAACACAAGAACCCUAAAAAAAUUUUCCAGAACCAAAAAUUCAUACACAAAUCCAUUGAUUUUCACAUCAAUCCUCAGAGAUUCGUGUGAAUCUUCAUCACUGGAUUGAAGAAUUCUCCUACAAUUCAAAGUGCGAGCUCACAUUGAAGCAAGCUCAAGCACUGAUCAUAGGGAUCUCUUUUUUACACAGAAUCUAAGAAGCAUUGAAGCAAGCUCAAGCACGUAAUCACAGAGAGAAGUAGAGAAAGAAUCGGAGAAGAUGAAGAAACAGAACCGGUAAACCGAUUUAUUUUCGGUCCAAAAAGCAAGCAGAAGAAUCAAAAAUCAUCAAGAACAUUCAAGUUUUUCCAAAGAUUUUCCUCCAUUAAAAGUUUCAACCAAAACUUCAGGUAAAACUCAUUUCCUCUCUCAAAAAGUGUUAAUCACAGUCAAACCUGUAAAAUCACGCGAGCAAGCAUAUCAAAAAUUUCCAGAAUUCAAAGAAAACUAUAACCGUAAACACCAAAACCUAGAUCCGUGAGGAUCAAAGUUUUGAAAGCAAGAACGAGUACCAGAAAAGUAAUCAAACGACGAAACGAUGUAGAUCUUCAAAGAUCUAAACGUUUUUGUUCAAAAAUCAAAAAUCAUUUCAAAACCGUAUAAAGUUUUUUCAAGAUCUACGUCGUUUCAAGCUGUAUUUGGAAAAAUAAUUGCUGGAUUCGUGUUUAGGGUUAAAGGACGAAUCAAAAGAAGUAAGAAUCUUUGAAAUCUGGAAAUUUAGGUCACCGGAAGUUCAUAAGUCUCGCCGGAGAAGAUGAAGUUUCCGGCGGACCUUCAAGGUCUCCGCCGUAGCUUCAUCCUCGCCGGCGGCGGGGUUAGAGAGAGGUGAGAGAUGAGAGAAGAGCUCUGAGUUAGAGAGAGAAAGGAGUGUAAAAAAUGAUUUAAACCGGUGCUCCUUCACUUUUAUAAGCCAGCGAACCGGACCGGUCCAGUCCGGUCCAUUCCCCUUUGAUUCCUGGCCGUUUGAUCUAGGGUUUCAGAAUCCUGGAUCAAUCGUGUGGUUCCUGUGCAUCCGGAUCCCUUGGCUUUGGGCCUGGGCCUCUUCUUUUGCUUUUCUACGUUUUUUUUUUGUUUUUCUUGCUAUUGGCACCAUUUUUCUUUGCUGUUUGAACCCCUGCAUGCUUAAUUUUUCUCUAAAAAAAAUCUCCAAAAAUUAUCACAUGUUUCUUGAUGUUUUUUCAUGUCCUUGUUCUAUUUCUCAAUGGUUUUAAAAUGAUAAAAAAGGGCAUGUGAUAUUUCUUGUUUAAUAAGUGUGUUUAGACAUAAACUUGUGCAUUUUUUAGUAGCAUAUCCCUCAUGAAUUGUUGACAUGUGAUUUGAACUUUUGGAAUGCAAUUUUAUGAUAAAUUUGUUGCUGAUCCUAUGUGUGGCUUGCUGCUUGUGAAUAUGAAUCUUAUUUUUCUUCUUGCCUUGCAAUUAGUAUAUGUUUUAAUAAUAAAUAAGGUGCAAAAUGUCUUAAAAAUGUGCCAUGAGUUUUAGCUUGAAUAUGUCCUAUUAAUUCUCACCUUAUGGCACAAAGCAAGACUUCUAAAAAUUUGCCAUAAUGAAGGGAUCAUAGGUCAUACACAUGCUAGAGUUUUAUGGCCACUUUCAUGCACAUUUUGUCACUUUAUUAGUCUCUUUUAUGUCUUUCCUCUUAAUAUUUUUUUGUGCACUUCUUUUAUUCUAUGCUUUAUUUUACUAAUCAUCUCACUUCUUUUAUUCCAUUCAUUUCAUGAGCAUUUCUCCAUUUCACCACUAUCUCCUCCACUUUCUUUAGCUUAGCAUUUAUUUUUGCAAGUUUUAUUUCAUUUGGUGAUGUAAUUUGUUAUCAUUGGUUUGUAGCUUGGCAAAGGGGCCAUAGAAUGUAUUUAGGUAAUUUUUGUAAUAUGGACUAUGAACACUAUGACGCACCGGCACGCACACACUCACCCUAGAUGUAUGCCUAGGAUUGCAUGGUUAGAUGAACGCUUAGGUUUAAACACUUAGAAAAAAUCCAACUUUUUUCCAAAAUAUGCAAAUAACCUCACUUGAAAACCUUUUUGCAAAAAAUAAAAUGGGAGUCAAAACUCCUCAUUUCCCUUUAUUUUUCUUAAGUAAAAUUUCUAAUAAAACUUAACUAUACUUGGACUUCAUUUUGAAAAAGCUAACUCCACCUCACUUUUUUCCAAAUCUCAUGCCCUUGAGGCCUCUCAUCUCUAUUCUUCAAAAUCUCUUUUCAAACUUAAAAUCAACCAACAAAAACAAAAACUAUUUUUUGAGAAUGAACUACGAUCGGUUUUGAUCCCGUAAAACGGUACGUAGGCAAGGGACUUUAACCCCUCCAAAGCCGAAAUAAAAUCAAAUUCUACUUCUUCUCACCCCCAUUCUUCACUAAUCAUACCUUCUUUUUUACAAAUAAGCAAUAAAACUAAAGCGUAGAAAUAAACUUAGGAGAACGGUUCUUAUGGAAUACCAUAAUCGCUCCGGGUGCCUAACACCUUCCCGUAGUGAAAACGACCCCCGAAUCUAGAACUUUUUAAGGGUUUUUCUCCUUUUACCCUUCCCAAGAAAAAAGAGAUAUCAACGGUCGAAAGGUUCAAGUCCAAUUAAUGGCUUGGCACCCAAAAACCAUGAUAACAUAGUCCAGUGCUGGUCAACUCCGUAUCUUGGUAUUGGGACAGCUCGACCAUAAUCAGUGACUUUUGGAUAAUCACAAACUCUUGUCCACACUUCUUCUGAUGUAAUCUUAGGUGGAGGACCAACAAAAACUCUCUCAUCCUUCAUGAAACCAUUCUUAAGUCUUCUAAACGGGUGAUUAUGAGGCAAGAACGGACGAUGACAGUCAAACCACGAACUCUUCCCUCCACUUUCCAAAGUAAAUGCCUUUGUAUUUUCCAUACAAUGUGGACAUGCAAAUCUACCAUGAGUACUCCAACCGGACAACAUGCCAUAAGUGGGGAAAUCAUUAAUGGUCCACAUCAAAGCUGCUCUCAAAUUGAAAUUUUGUUUUCUAGAAAUAUCAUAUGUCAAUUCUCCAACCCACAACCUCUUCAAAUCAUCAAUUAACGGUUGUAGAAACACGUCUAUGCCUGCUUUAGGGUUAUCUGAUCCUGGUACAAUACAACUCAAAAACAAGUAUGGUUUUGUCAUGCACAUUUCAGGAGGGAGAUUAUACGGGGUUACAAUGAUUGGCCAACAAGAAUAUGGUUUUUCUGAGGAUUGGACAUAUGGCUGAAAACCGUCGGAGCGUAAUCCAAGUCUCACAUUCCGUGGAUCUGCUGCAAAAUCAAGAUGUACUCGAUCAAAGUGUUUCCACGCUUCACCGUCAGAAGGAUGUCGCAUCACUCCGGGAAUUCCAUUUGAAUGAUGCCACGUCAUUUGACUAGCAGUUUUCAUCGAUGCAAACAGUCUUUGUAAUCUUGGUAUUAUUGGCAAGUAAAACAUUGACUUAACCGCCACUCGUUUCUGCUUGCUAAUACCGUACCUCGGGCUUUGACAAAAUUUACAUUCCUCCAAUGCUCCAUCAUUUAUCCCAAACUCAUUGUCAUAAAACAACAUGCAUCCAUUUCUACAACAAUCAAUCUUUUUAACUGAUAAUCCCAACUUCAUCACCAACCUCUUCGCAGCAUGAUAAUUCAUUGGCAGAUUAUCUUUGAACGGAGUCACGACCUUCAACAUCUUCGUAAUAUCAUCCAUACCAUCAUCAGGAUUAAGAUAAUUUGACUUAUGAGAUAAAAGCCACACACACAUAGAUAGCUUAGAGUACGAAGACCCUUCAUACAAAGGUGUAUUACUUUCACUCAACAAUCGGUAAAAUCUUUGCGCCUUCUCAUUCGGGGGUUGUUCCUCUUCAUCAUCUUCAACAUCAUCACCAACCUCUUCGCAGCAUGAUAAUUCAUUGGCAGAUUAUCUUUGAACGGAGUCACGGCCUUCAACAUCUUCGUAAUAUCAUCCAUACCAUCAUCAGGAUUAAGAUAAUUUGACUUAUGAGAUAAAAGCCACACACACAUAGAUAGCUUAGAGUACGAAGAUCCUUCAUACAAAGGUGUAUUACUUUCACUCAACAAUCGGUAAAAUCUUUGCGCCUUCUCAUUCGGGGGUUGUUCCUCUUCAUCAUCUUCAACAUCUUCACCGUAAGACAAUUCCACCCCUAAAGCGUCCGCAACCAUAUCAUCCAUCAUGUUGAAUUGUUCUGUGUUGACAUCUUCAUUGUAUUCCACAUUUGUUUCCACAUUUGUUCCACCAUGGCCAGUAGNNNNNNNNNNNNNNNNNNNNNNNNNNNNNNNNNNNNNNNNNNNNNNNNNNNNNNNNNNNNNNNNNNNNNNNNNNNNNNNNNNNNNNNNNNNNNNNNNNNNNNNNNNNNNNNNNNNNNNNNNNNNNNNNNNNNNNNNNNNNNNNNNNNNNNNNNNNNNNNNNNNNNNNNNNNNNNNNNNNNNNNNNNNNNNNNNNNNNNNNNNNNNNNNNUGCAUUGACCCCUACCCCAAAAUUCUGAAACAUUUCACCAUUAUAUGUCCAAACCCAAUAAUUAAGUAUAAAAUCAACUUUUUUUAAGUGUUUCUUCACAUCUCCAGGAUCGGUAAUUAUAUGUCUGCACCUACAUUUUAGACACGGACAUCUAAUUCCUCCCUCAUCUCUACAAAUUUCUUGCUCCCAUGCCCAUGAAAAUAAAUCCGUCAACUCCUUCGACAAAUUGCGGUUUUAGUCCAGUUCUUCCCGGAAACGUCCUAUCGUACAUCCAACUUCGAUAAUAUUCAUAAUACUCCAUCUUCUACACGUUCCGCAACUUCAUUGACAUAUUCCACGUCAAAAAUAAAUUAUUACUCAACGGAGAUAACUAACAUUACGCGCAAAAAAAAAAUAUAUAAUAAUUAAUUAGUAAAUAAUUGUAACAUAGUUUUAAUUUUCAUCGAUAAACAACUUUCUUGUACUAAACUAUUUUUGAGUCCCUCCUUUUUAAACAAUAUGCAUUAUUAUAUUAUAUUGUUUUAUUUUAUAAAAAUAAUAAUUAUAACAUUUUAGACACGGAAAUCAAACAUAUUUUAAUUUAUUAAAAAAAUAGAUUUUAACAAAGUUUUAAUUUAAAAAAAAAAACUGAUUUUUAAUACACUAUUUUAAUAAAUUGUUUUCCAAUAAUAAAACUUUUUAGUAUAGUAUUUUUAAUGAAGCAUUUUUAUUUUCCUACGCUUUGAUUAGUUUUAAUUUAUAAAAAUAAUAAUUAUAACAUAAUUAUAAUUUAAAUAUAAAAACAGAUUUUUAAAUAUAAAAACAGAUUUUAAUUUAUUAAAAAACACCAUUAUGUUUAAAAAUCUGUUUUUAUAUUUAAAUUAUAAUUAUGUUAUAAUUUAAAAACUAGUUUUAAUAUGGCAUUAACUAAACUAAAAUAUAUUUAUAAAAACUAGUUAUUAAAAAAUUUAAAAAAUAAAUAAAUUUUUAAUAACAGAUUUAGUUUAACAACCAAUUUAACUUUUAAAACAAUAUUUUCUAAUUUUUUUUAUUUUAAAACAGUACCGAAAUGUACACUUGCCUAAAAUUAAUUAAACUAGUCCUAUUUUCUUUCAUAUUUUUCUUUAAAACAAUUAAAGUUUAUUAUUAAAAAAAAAACAGAAUACAUAUAAGCAAUUAUUGUUUGACCAUAUUUUUUUUAACAUUCUACUGCAACAUGCAUAUAUUACAUUUUAUCACAAAAAAAAAACAGCAUGCAAAUAUUUCAUUUCAUCACAAUAAAUUAAAACAACAUGCAUAUAUAUUUCAUUUGAUCACAAAAAAAAAAAAAUGCAUAUAUAUAAUUCAUUUUAUCACAAAAAAAAAUGGAUAUAUUUUGAAAAUUACCAACAUUCAUGCAUAAUAAUAUUAAAAAACGAAAAUAAAAUUAUCAUGAUAUUAAUUUUUUUUCCAGAUUUUCGAAAAAAAAAAUACUUUAUCAAACAAUCAACAUAUUUUACAUACAACACAUCAUCAACAUGUAUAUCAGUUAUAGUGUUAUGAGGAAAAAAUAUCACUAACUUGUUGAAGCUUUACAAUAGAAGAUCUGCAAUGCAAUCCAAAAACAGCAAGAGUUGGAGCAAUAGCUAACAACAGGAGGCGGAUAAAUAAAACAGCUGCAAAUAACAUACAAAAUAAAUAACAUUAAUAAGUAGUAAAAUUUAACAUCAUGAUAAAACAUAUAACAAAUGAAUAAUUUUUUUACCAAAUAAUAGAAGUUUGAUGAAUGUUUUGUAUGAAGGUGUUGUGUUUUAAGAGAAGAAAAACUUCUAAGGGUUAUGUGAAAGUUAAAACCGAUGCUUCUCUUAUAUAGGGAAGGGAAAAAACCAGGGCCUUUCCCAGGGACACGUCCGUCGGAAAUCUGGUCAAAUCCUAGCUUAGGUAGGCGCAGAAGUAGGUGCAGAACGGGUUGGAAAAACUGACGGAAUUGAGCAAUAACCGAGGGGUUACGCCCCUGGCAGGCCUGCGACGGACAGCUUUUGGCAGGCCCUUGUCAAGUCAACUGGAACAAAGCAGGGAAUCCUUUGAAUUUCGGAAACCGAGGGGCAGUUCCCUGGCUUUUUCUGUCGGUUUUCUCUGACAUAGCAGAGAUUCCCUUAGAUUUUCAAAAUUCAAUCUGGCGCCUAAAAUAAAGCCAGGGAUUUUGACAAAAAGCGAGGGGCAAAUCCCUGUCUUUUGUGCCACCGGUUUUCCUUGGUAUUUUCCCUGGCAAAUUUGCCAGGGGUAUCAAACCCUUGUCAAAAUCCUUGGCAAAAGGUCAUUAUUCUUGUAGUGCACCUAAGCCUAUUUUCAACAAUCUUUUCUACUAUAGGUGUUAUCACAUCUCUCUCUCUCUCUCUCUCUCUCUCUCUCUCCCUCUCCCUCUCUCUCCCUCUCUCUCUCUCUAUCCCUCUCUAAUAUUUUCAUUUCUGAUCAUAUCUCAUCUAGUCUUACCACAACAUUCAACACAACAUCCUCGUCUUCUCUACACUUAUUUUAUUCUCGUGUUUGUUCUUCAUCGCCAACACCCUGUUCAAUGAACUUUUCAAUGGUUUUAUGUGACUUUUAUUUGCAUCUAUGAAUCUUACCUAAACUCAGCUACGUAUGUAUUUAAAAAUAAUGCAUUCUACGUCUUAAAAUUUUAGAAAUUGUUUUUUUAACAUAAAAUUCAUCUGUUAUUUCUUUAUUAGCAUGGCCUUAAAUUAAAACAUACAAGUACAUAAAAAGUACCACCCAUAGAUUAUGAACGUAUGUGUGAAGUUAAUCUAAGGAAGUGUACGUGAACUAUGUUCACAUGGUAUACGUUACUUGAAGGUAAAGCUUACAUGUUUUAAAUUGACUCAAGGUUUAAAUAGGUAAAUCGUUCAUGUAAGUUCACGUGUUUUUUGUUUUCGUCAUUGUAUCAUUUUUUUAUUCUAAAAUAUACCCUGUAAGUUAUAAAUAAUUUGCUUUUGGCCCAUGUCGUUAUCAUCUGUUACAAAAAUGCAUGUGUUUAACGGCAGCUGAUAUGGCGAUGUGUGACGUGGCAAGUGAGGUUUAUAAGUCGUUUCAGAUGUCCACUGACAAGGUUAUAGGAACCAAAUCCAAAAUGGAAGAUUUAGAGAGGGAUGCAAUUCAAAAACAUGAAUUUACAAAAUUUCAAACUAAAAACACAGUUUUCCUUUCUUCAUCUUCUUCCUUCCUCUUCUUCAUCAUCUUCAACCUCACAUUCAUCAACCUUCAUCAAACUCAAAAAACAUAAAUUAGACAUUCAAACUCUUUAAUCAAAAUCUCAUUUUCCAAAACUUGAAUGAAGAAGAGGAAAAUAAAUGGGAGACGCAAAGGAGGAGGAGGAGGGUGAUGUUUGAAAAUUUGAUAUGAUAAACUAAGGAUAUAAACUAAGUGAUGAACAACACAAAUAUUAUGAUAAACUAAGUGAUGAACAACACAAAUAUUUUUCAAACGGAAAAGUAAAACAUAUUAAAUGUAACUUUUUAUGAAAUAUAUUUUAAUAACAUUAAAAUUUAUUAUGCAUUAUGCAAACAAUUGAAACAUAAACUAUGAAUUAAAACUGAAAUUACAUAAAAGCAAACAACGGCAACCUUAACAUAAUACUCCAUAAAUCUAUUUGUAUCACCACAUCUGAUAUGGUUCCACAUCAACAUCUCAGAUUAAAGUCUUUCCAAACUAAUGAAUCUUGAUUUGAGAAUUGCAAAUGCUCUUAACAUCAUGGGAACCCGGCGCCAUAUUAACCGUGAUGUUACAUGUAUUGUAAGCUGUUCCCUUCAAUUUGAUAUACUUAAGAACAAUCACUUUACCAGGAAAUUCAGCCUUUGAUAUCAAUGUAAAUUUAUAACCUGGUACAACUUCUUUCCAGAAGUCAGGGUUAUUUAUCAAUUUAUUCACCGUCAUAAGUGUAUAAGUGGACACGUUUAUUUCACUAUGUGCCGGGACUAAUUGUGACUCAAUUGGAACAGUACCUACAACAGUAUCAUGAUAAGUGACAUAACUAUAUGAUUUUUUAAAUUCGAAGCUCCCAAAAUUAGGGUUCCCUAUUGUGACCAACGUGGAUAUGUUCAUAAUUAUGGGCAUAUCGGGUGAAAGUAGAUCGACAGGUUCAACAUGGACAACAAUAUUAGGAUCUUUAGGUUUGAAAACGGUGAAAAUCAAGGCUAUAGUCACAAUUGAAACAAUGAUGAAAAGCAUUGCAGAUACACUCAAACAGAUUUUGAGUCUUGAUUUAGCCAUGGUUUUGGUUUUUGGGUAUGAAGAGGAUUAGAAGAAAAUGAAGAUUUGCGAGAAAUCAAUGAAGAAAAUUUAUCUGUGUAAAAUAAUGUUGUUGAUCGUUUGUUAUAUAGCUAGAACUUGAAUUUUUUAUUGGAAAUUUUUUGGAUAAGGAAAAUUUAGGUUAUUGGAAUAUACAAUUAAAUUAGUAAUUUUUUUAUAGAGUUAAUUUAGAAAUUAAUUUAUGUGCACGGUUAAUGUCAAGAUUUUUUUCAUAGUCAAUUAAUUAUGAAUAGUCAAAUGAAAAAAACAAGUAUUAAUUUAAUUAUUGUUACCUUGAAAAUCACACAUAAGAUAAUUUUGAUUGACAAUAAUAAAACAUUUUACACUGAUAAUAAUGUAUUAAAAUUAAAUUUUCUUUUUUUACACGUGAAUUUAUGUGAGAAUUUAUUGAUAUAUUUAUGUAGGUCAAAGUUUGUUUGCCUUUCCAUAUACUUUUGAUUUACAGUAAAGGGAAUUUUUAAUCGUUCACCAAAAAAAUUUGAAUUUUUUAAUUCAAAAACUAUUUUUGAUUUGGUUCAGUUGGAAUGAUGAGUAAUCAAAAUAAAUAUGUUUGCCUAAUUUGAAUGUUGAGAUCAGAUCAAACACAAAUUUACAUGAUCCCUUCGUUGGACAUCUAAUUUGUCCAGUUGUUGUUAAUAUGUUUGUACUAUGAUGACAAUAAAAAUACAAAGACCCUUUAAAAAAAAUGCAAAGACAAAAUAAUGGAUAUCAUGUGUCUUUUCCUUUGAAAUAAAAAAGGAUUACAUUCAUAUUACAAAGAUUAAUUCUAAUGUGAACAAAUUUUAGAGGAACUAAGUUUAAUUUUAAAUUUGAAAAUUUUGAUUUGCACCUUUAAAAUCUAUUUUAUUUUAUUUUGAUAAAAAAAAAUAUCUUUCUUUUGGUUUUAGUAUACUCCCUCCGUUUUUUAAUAUAAGCAAAUUUUGACUUUUAGAUUCAUUCAAUUAAUGAUGUAUAUGAUUUAUAUUAUAGACCACAUACAUCAUUGAUUGAAUGAACCUAAAAGUCAAAAUUUGCUUAUAUUAAAAAAUGGAUGGAAUAUAUGUUUCCUGAUUCCUCUCCAUUGAAAAUAAUCUUAUUUGAAGUGCGUCCAAUACUAAAUGUGUGUACUUCUUGCACGAACUUAAUCGCCAUGUUGGAGAGUCUAAUAUUGUAUGCUAAGUCCAACCUCCCAUUGGUAAAACUCCCAAAACUUUUUUCAAAUUUGAUAAUGUCCCAUAAUAGUGCCUCAUAAAUUUGAAUUUUUAAUUAACACAAUUUUUAACUUUAAAGUGAUUUUACUUAAUGGUUUCAAUUGAUUCAAACUAGGUACGAUUCAAUCGAGUUUUGAAGAUAUGAUUCAACCAAUUCAAUUAGUCUUUCUAAACUUUAGCCCUAAUACUCAUCCUACUUGUUCUAUCAUGCCUUCAUGCUAAAUGACAUCAUCAAUUGGCAAUAUAAGCACAUAUACGGAAAUAUUAUUCAUAAAAACCUUAUGUACCUUAACUAAUUACAAGGUUAACUCGAAAACUUUCCAUAAAAAAAAUAAUGAUUGAAGAUUAGACCUAAUUAACCCAUUUAAACUUUACAUGCAUGUAAACAUAUUUCAUGACUCUCAUGCUUGAACAACUUCCCUUUCUCAAUACCCUUCUCAAAUCAUAAAUAAUCUCACCCUUAUUGUUCAAAAUUGUCGCAAAUUGACGAGAUAAAUAAUUAAACCAUUAAGAAAAUACAUUGUUGCUGAAAAUCCAAAUAAAAUUUGGUGAUAAUGAGUUUGUAUGAAGACGAGUGCUUGAAGUGUGUGAAUGAGAAAAUGGUUUUAAGUUUUUGUGAAACCUUUGUGGUUAAGAAAUGAAAAGUGGGAUUAGGUCGACAAAACCAUAGUAAACUGAUUAAUGGUAGUGGAAACGAGUAGUUGUGUUAUUAAUGUGAUUUAGUGGGGGAGGUUACACAUUUAAUCCGUAGUUUCCCAGAUUCACAAAGUUCACUAGGCGAACAUGUGCCACGCCUAGCGAACUAGUCCAUAGAGGGAAAUAUAAAAAAAUUCCAUGCGUUGGACGAGCAAGUUCUCGCCUAGAGAAUUUGACAGAAAACAAAAUGUUUCAAGUUAAAAUUUCAAGGUUUUGUCCCGUGAGCAUAACUCAGUUGGUUGAGUUGGCAGACUAUGGAGUUGGCAGACUAUCAUUUCAAUCAAGAUGGUUCAAAUGAAGACUUCUUUGCCAUUAUCCUUGAUACUGCAUCUGUAAAUAGCAGAACUUUUGUUGUUGGUUGAAUUUGCAGUGUUGCAUUAUCCAUGAGAUAUUGCAAGGCAUGCAAUGAAAUUGUUGCUUGCUCCAAGAUCAAACAAGGCUUUGGCAAACAUGACCCCGCUGAUAACAAUCGGUAAUGUAACCCUUCAUGGAUCCCUACACUUCGAUGAUUAUCACGGUAUGCAGUGUUUCCAAGGUACUCUCGACUGCUUUUCAUCUAUUUUGACAGUUUCCUUUAUUUUGUGGCUUGUCCUGUCUUCGUCUUCCUUCUCGUUUCAUUUUUUUAGGGGAGACUUCUUUAAAGUUUAUUGGGUUAAAUAAAUAAAUGGUUCCUCUAAAAAAUUUUAUUUAUGAAAUUAGUCCAUACUUUUUAAUCAACUCAUGACUUACCCUUCAUAUUUUAUAAUGAAUUUUUUUUAGAAAUGUGUAGAAAAUUAUGACAAUAUUUUCCAAAAAAAAAAAAAGAAUUUUUAACAAAUCAUUAAUUAAAUUGAAUUUUUUAUGUUUUUGGUGUUAAAAAAUUCAUGUUUUGUUAAAAAAUAUAAAAGUUAGACAUGAAUUAACUAAAAAGUAUGGACUCAUUUCAUAGAUGGAAAAUUUUGGGGAACUAAUUUCAUAAAUGAAAAAUUUUGAGGAACUAAAAUCAAAUGUUGGUAGCGGAACCAUUUACUUAUUUAACUCAAGUUUCUUUAAUAGUGACAUACAUAAAGAAAAUAAAAAGGUAAAACACAAUGGAGUCCAUAGAGAAGCAAUGGAGUCGGGGACAUUUUUCUUUUAAAUCUUUGUCUAUAAUCAAGAGCUUCAUCCAAAAGCCAAAAUAAUGAACAAAAGUAAAGUCAAUAUCCAUUGAUCACUCUAUCCUUUCGCUACUAUCUCCCCAAAGGUCACCUCCUAGUGGUUGUAUUAUUUUUUUUGGAAAGUUUGUAGUGCCUUUUUUAUUUUUUUUAACAAUGUUACAAGUAUCAUAUCUCUAAAAAAAAAAACAAUGUUAUAGGUGUGAAAUAUUCAAGAAGUUUAAAUUGAGUCGUAAUGUUAUAAGUGAGCCUUUUCAUUAUCAUAAGCUAAAUAUUAUUAAAAAAUGUUAACUGCAUCCCAAUGGUAAAUUUGUAAGGAAUUUAAACAUGAUUCAAUGAUUCCAUAAUCAUUAUCGGUGACUCUCAUAAUGUCACAUGAUAUUUAUACAGUGUCCCUUUAUUGAUUCCAACUUUUGGUUAUCAAUUACACAGGCUCUCGAUGGAAAGGUCCAUCAUUUGCUGCAUAAUUUAUGCAAAAGAGGAAUGCUAGCAACACUCUUUUUUGAGCAUUCUCUCUAACACUUACUUUUUUAUUGGAUGAAAUCCAUGUAGGACCUACACUUUGAAAAUAAAACUCAUAUAAAAUGGUGAAACAUAUAUUGAUUUCACUCAAUAAAAGAUUGAGUAUUAGAGAGAGUGCUUAAAAUAGAGUGUUGUUAGCAUUCAUCUUUAUGCCAAUUUUUGCAUUAUUAAUUUGACAGCUUGGUUUUAGGUUAUUAAUGCAUGUUAAAUUUGGACUCUUCCAUAUGAUGUGCACAUCUUGUGCUUGCUGGAGUUUAAUUUUAAUUUAAUAAAAUAUACUUUCUCUACCUUUCCAAAAAUAAAAUAAUACAUUCUUUACCUUUGUAAAGAUAAAAUAAAAUGAAAAGGAAAGAAACAAAUUUCAUAUAGUAAUUAUGACUCACAUUAAGGUACAUAUUUGAUUGUUUUAGAUACAUUUAUCCAUAGUUCAAAUGGUGCAAUUUUCCUUCAUCAUAUUCCAUAAUUUAAAUUAUUUUUAAGCAUCACACUUAUUUUUCAUUCAAAUGGUGUAAUAUUGUUAGGCUGAAUACAUUUAUGGGAGUUUGAAGUUAGGAUUUUACAUUUAUAUUUAAGUUUUUAACGUGUUUGUCAUUUUGUCUACCGAUAGCAAUUUUUUAGAAUCCAAAUGGUCCUAUCAAUCAAAUCAAUCAUCGCAUGUGUACUGUGUGUAUAUAGGGCAAGUAUGAUGUCUUGCUAAAACAAUACUUACAAAUAAAUUUACAUUUACCUUUAUGUUAAGAUAUUAAAAAGGUUGAAUAUGUAAAUAUGUGUGUUUACCUUUAGACCAGCCUCUCAAGUUCUUUAAAUUUAUUUCAUCAAUUGAUUUAUUUGACCAAUUAACACAAAUUAAGAAAAAUAUACAAAUAGAAAAAGAUAAUAAGUAAAUUAUAUAAAUUAAAAAGAAAUAAUAAAAUAAUGUAUAAAGAAAAAAAGAGAUGAUUAUAAUUUUAAUCAAUUACCUUAUCAUGUAUUGAAAUUCCCACAAGUUGGUCUAGUGAUGUAGGUUUAAAACAUUAGAGUGUACUUCUCUCAAAAUUAGAAGUUUAAAUCCUCUCGAUGUCAACUUUCUGUAGAUUAAUUCAUACAAAGAUUUGUUCUGAUUUUAAUAAACUCCACGCUAGUCAUUCCUUAGUCAUGUCUACCGAGUUUCCAAAAACAAAACGAAAAAAAUUAUCAUGCUUUAUGUACUCUCUUCAUCUUUACAUAUAUGGAAGAAAAAAAAACAUUGAAUUGAAAUUGGUGCAAAUGGUAUUAACUAGAAAACAUAAUUAGGAAAAAGUAAUUAAAGAUGUAUGAACUCCCUCCAUCAAAAGACAAUCGACCUUCUUUGAUCAAUGCGACAUUCACUUAACAUGUUUGAUUAUAAUUUUUUUUUUAAAAAUGCUUGAUGGUGCGAAACAUUUUUGCAAAUAUCGCACGAAUCAUGUAUUUGUUUUUAUUUUAUUUUGAAAGGACGAAGCAUACAUUUUUGUUAUUUCCCUAACACUGAGCAAGUACGCACCAUAAAAAACAAUCAUAUAUGGUAAUUUUUAUUUUAAAUAAUAAUAAUAAUUUUAAAAUUUGUUUCGCAAAAAAUAACGAAUAUUUGAUAAGAUAACUUAUAAUGGAUGACUUUAUAACGGAUAGUUGAUAAGUUUGUGUAUGACUAAUAGCGGAUAAACCUUUGAUUAAAUUUUUAGUGUUUGAUAAAGUACUGAUUGAACUAUCUUAUAGAUAAAAUGACAUAAAACUGAUAUAUUUAAUUAAUUUUAUUUUUCAAUUAAAUUGUAGCGAGAAGGUUGUGAUAAUUAAUAAUAGUCUAUAAUCUUUAAGGUAUAAGAUACAAUUUUAUUUUUUAAAACUGUCGAAUUUUAAAAUAGGGGGAUCAAUUCCUCAAAAAGAUAAAAAUAGAAGGACUAAAAUUGUAAUUAAGUCUUUUUUUUACAAAUAAUUGUUAUAUUGUAUCAUUGAAAAAGAUAAAUAUAGAUUGUUACAAUAUAAAAGUACAAAAUUUACAUGCGCCAACACAAUAAAACGAGCAAAUAAACAGACACGGAGUACCCAUCGAUCGUUUGUUUAUUUAUAAUAAUAAUAUUAAUAAUAAUUUUUUGGGAGAAUAAUAAAAAUAAUAAAGUGUGGAUUUGUAAGUAACUUGCUUUUAAUUGUGCAGAUAUACUUAGGUGAAUAAUAAGAACAGAUGCUUCGCGUGGUUUGUGCGAAAUAUUUUCGCACCAUUUAGCAUCACUCUUUUUUUUUACUAUUAUAUAAAAAUAAAUUGUAGCAUAUAAGAUAUUUAUUUUGUCAAAAGAUUAAGAUAUUUAAUUUGUUUCAAUAAAUAUUUUCAAAAUAUUAAAGAUUAAAAUUGUGUUAACUAAGGCAGAAAGAUUAUUAAAAAUUGAAGAGAUAAUUUUUUUUUUACAAUAAAGAGUAAUUUUAGGAGAGAGAUGAAGAAUGUUUAAAGAAUUGAUUUAUUGAGGGAAAUAAAACAAGACAAGAAACAAAUAGAAAAGGCAUUGUUAUUGUUGUUGAGAGAGAGUUCGUGGGUUGCCUCGCUUAACAUCGCUGUCGUUUUGUUUUUCAGUCCAAACACAAUCAUUCAUUCCUUGUUGCCGUUUUACUCUCUCUCUCUCUCUCUCUGAAAUUGAAUUCAUCAUUCAGCAACAUGAACGACCUUCUCACUGUAAGUUCAUAUUUCUAAUUCACCCCCCAAAAAAAAAUUAAUUAAUUUUGAUUACUGGGUUUUUACUUCCAUUUCCUAAAUUCAAUUUUCAAGUCAGGUUUAAUUUUUAGCUUUCAAUUUUAGCAGUAUGAACCUGAUGCAAUCAUGUUUUGAUAAUUUGAUUCUUUGAUUUCAUCACUAUUAGAAGAUCAUAGUUAAUCCCUAUUUAGGUUUUGGGUGUUUCAAUUCAUUCUGAUAUUGAUUGACUUAGGUGUUUUUUCUCUCUUUCUUUUUGAUUUGACUUGGAUUGAAAUUGAACUCAAGUAUCAUGUUUUUAUAGAUCAAUUUUUGAAGAUAGUUUUUUUUUUUUUUUUUUUUGCAGGAUUCAUUUGUUAGUGAGGCUAAUCAUGGACAACCUUCUAGACAAGGUGAUAUUGAAAUGGGAUUGCAGGAUCAAAGAAGCAGUUCUGAUAUGGGAAUGGAAGCUUUUAAUAAACAGGUUAACUAUGUGUUUUUUAUUUUAAUCUUUUAUGAACUAUAGAUACACCUCGGAUUAGGCGUGUCUUGAUGUCGGAUACCUAUCAUGUCUGACGCAGACACUGACACAUAUGAUUACAUUGAAUUAUGUCAUUUUUUUUAAAUUAUAAUCGGUGUCGAUUUGUUCGUGUCUGUGCUGCAUAGGACUUAUGCCAACAUUUAAAUUUGUAAAAUUGAUUCUAGUUAAAAGUGAGUUGAAUGUGAAGUGGUUUGUGAUUCACGUAUGUAAAUUUAAGUGUAACAAUCAUGUUUGAAGUCAAAAGCUACAAAUUCUAGCUUCAAGUUAGAGUCAAUUUUAGUUAGAGACAAAAUCAAUUCCAAUGGAAAUCACUCAAACAUGUUAAAAUCAAUUGUGUCUGGAAUCACUUUUGACUCCUCCUAUGGUGAAACCAAACAUACAGGGUAUAAUGAAACUGAGAAGUUUUGAUGCUUCAAGCUAUUUUUGUUCAGGAUGACAAUUGAAUAUCCUAAGUUUACUGGUAUUUUUUAAUUUUGUUAAUUAGAUCCAAGAUGCUGAUAAACAAAUUGAGAAGGUGUCUGCGCUACUUCAAAAGCUAAAGGUAUCCAUUUAGUUCAUUAUAUAUUACUUUGUAGCAGUAAUGUCUCCUUAUAACCGUUUUGUUUUUGACAAACUUAUAACCGUUAGUAAAUGCACAUUUGGUAGGAAGCUAAUGAGGAAUCAAAAGCUGUUACAAAAGCAUCUGCCAUGAAAGGUAUUGUAACUUGUUACAAUGCAAUGUCUGUAAUUCUUUUAGUUGAAAAUACUUCAAAUUGUUUAUUACUCAUAAGAUUUUGCUGGUACUGGUUACUGAAUCAUGACAAUUGUCUUGCUAACAACAGUGACACGUUGAUUAAAUAUUUCAUAUUUAUUUCGUUUGAAUGUGAAAUUUAGUGUUCUUUGCAUGACUAAUAAACCUCUUACGUCAUUCUCAGCUAUCAAAAAGAGGAUGGAAAAGGAUAUUGAUGAAGUUGGGAAGAUUGCACAUGGGGUCAAAGCAAAAAUAGAAGCUAUCAAUAGAGAAGUAAUGUGAUGCUAGCUGAAUAUUGUUAAGUAUAUGUAAGUUUGUUAUAUAGAUUUCAAAUACGGAUAAAAAAUAGUUAACCGGGAUAUGUUUUAUGCAGAAUCUGAACAAUAGACAAAAGCCUGGCUGUGAGAAGGGAACUGGUAUUGACAGAGCAAGAAUGAAUAUGACAAAGUAAAUAUAUAGUGUAUAUCUUUAUUAGCAUACUUGAUAAAAACAAUUUAAGAAGCUGAAAUAUCUAUUUUUUCUUGAAAUUGCAGUUCAUUGACUAAAAAGUUCAGGGAUCUCAUGACAGAAUUCCAGGUUUGUUAGUCUGAAACACCGAACACUAGAAGCUGUUUUUCCAAGUUAAUGUCUAUCAUCUCAUCAAUGUGUAUGUUAUAUUGCAGACUCUCAGACAAAGAAUACAAGAUGAAUAUCGUGAGGUUGUGGAGAGAAGAGUUAUUACAGGUAUGUGCAUUUUAGCCCCUUGAUGAAGUUAACUGUGUUGCACUACGGUAGUACUAUAGUUAUUUAUACCCAGUUAUUCAAAAAGUAUAAGGUCAUCAUGUCCUUGUGUUGUUAACUUUGUGAUUGUUUGACUUGAUUCUUCAGUUACGGGAACUAGACCAGAUGAUGAGGUGAGUUUGAUUCAUGAAUUUGUUACUUAAGAUGAGAUAUCAGCUAUGCAUAAGUUUUGGUUUAAUUGGCUGUUUCAUGACUAUGUUAGACGAUUGACCACCUGAUAGAAACUGGAAACAGUGAGCAAAUCUUCCAGCAGGCAAUUCUUGAAGCAGGCCGAGGACAGGUACUUGAUUUAUGAUCUUUUAUUUGACUUUAUUUUUUAAUUUUAAAGAGCUAUUCAGAUAUUAUGACUUCUUCUCAAUUUGUCUCUUCUUCAAACAUAACCGUAUAUAGUUAAGUGAUUUUUUCGUAUUUUCAUCUCAUGGACGAGAUAUUGACGUGGUGAGCGGAUGUUAGCGUGUUGUUUCUUGAGCUUAAAGGAGGAAUAUCUUAUGUUAGCGUGUUGUUUCUCCAAGAUUAUUUUUAUUUUGAAACACAGCUGCAAUUACAAAUGCAGUUACGAUUUGUCGUUUGCUUGUGUGGAAAAUCGAAAUUUUCUUGUUGUAAAAGUUUAAUUCAGAAAAUUUGGGUUGUUGCAGGUCGUGAGCACUGUAGAAGAAAUUCAGGAGAGACAUGAUGCUGUGAAAGAAAUUGAGAAAAAACUUCUUGAUUUACAUCAGGUUUACUUACCAGAAGAUCCUGGUCUUCAAUAUUUGUUUAGUUGACAAUGGUAACAUUUAUAAUAAUAUGUCUAAUCCUAUUUUAUUAUUUUUCAGAUUUACCUUGACAUGGCAGUGUUAGUUGAAGCUCAAGGAGAAAUUUUAGACAACAUCGAAAGCCAGGUUUGUGUCUUCGCUCAUCCUUGAUUUUUCUGUAUAUAUAUGUUUGUAUGUAGAAUGCAGCGCAUGUUUAGUUCAAUUUGCGUUAAUAAGAGGCUUGUUCAGGUCAACAAUGCAGUCGAUCAUGUCCAGAGAGGGACAACUGCACUUCAAAGUGCUAAGAAACUCCAGAAGAAUUCUCGAAAAUGGAUGUGCAUUGCCAUCAUCAUCCUGUUAAUAAUAGUAGCUAUCAUAGUUGUUGGCGUUCUCAAACCUUGGAAGAGUUCUUAGACCCCUUGUCCAUAUAUAUAAGAGUUGUGUUGGUUGGGAAAGCAUUUGCAUGCGUCAGCGGGAACAUCUUAGAGCAGGAUUGAUUUUUAAGACUUUUACUUGUUUGUAUGAUGCUUGAUUUGUGUGUGUGAUUGUCUUUUGACUUGCUAAUACAUCGGUGUGUCUCUGUCUGACAAAAUACGAAAAUUCUUAUUCUUUGUAGCCUUAAAAGUUUAUCAUGGCUUCUUAUUUCCUUGUACCAUUCUAAAGCUGGUUUUGUUGCCAUUUGCUUGUGACAUAUAUUGCAUUGUUGUUUUCUUCUUCUAAAGAAACUACCUUUUUUUUCUCUCAUUUUGUUUCUCUUUAUAUGUUUUUUCAUUUUGUUUUGCCAAAUUGUCAGUUUCUAUUCCCACCCCCCAACAUGUGUCUGGAAGUAUAAGUACAAGAAAAGCACAGUUUUGUUUCCGUUGGAAAGUAUACUUCCAGACAGUUAGGUAGGUUCCCAAAAAAGAAAACAUGUUAUCCAAACAAUCUUAACUCUUGAACUCCAAUGCUUGAUCAAGAGUUAUGUUUGAUAAUCCGAAGUGUUAUAAUUUUGAGAAAAAAUGUGAGGUUUAUUUUACUAUAAUUUCCCUUUUUCUUUAAUUGCUUUUCAGUAUUAAUAUUGAUAUUUUGUGAAUUAAAAAUUAAAAUAAUCUCGUGUAUAUAUAGCACAAUUAAAAAAUUCAAAAGGGGUGUGAUCAAAGAAAAAAGAACAGAUUUCCGAUCUAUUUUGUCCAUAUGUCAAUUGCUACCUUUUCUUUUAUUGUCCUUUGAGAAAAAGUUUCAACUACUAUAGUGCCUCAUAUUUUUCAUCUGAAUUAGGAUAGACAAUAUUAUAUGUUAAGAAUAAUUAUUAUUUUACACAUUAUUUGCACACUACAUUGAUAGAGUAUUUGUGAUUAUGCGAGUUCUAUAAAAAAAAAUUCUUAUAUAUAUAGGGAGGGAAGGAGAUUGGUUUAAAAUGAUUUUAAAGAAAGUUAUUAUAACAAAAAUUAUCCCUCGUUAAAGUAUGAACAGUUUGAGUUGAGAUAGAUAAAUAGGUUUUAAACGAAAGUGAGUUUGAUCCUCCUAUCUAGAUUGCUUAGAACAACUUCAACUAGGGUUCUUACAAUGUUUUUAGGGGUUCAUAGAGUUUGCCAUGGAAAGCAUGGCAUCCAAACUCAAAUUUUAGCAUUAUAUAAUGAUAAAAAAAAUAAAAAUAAAAGAUUUUAGGCCCACUAUAGUGAUGAGCUCAUUAGUAAUUGUGGAAGAAAUAUACCAUUCAUUGAAAAUUAUGCAAGUUCUGUAUGAUUUGGUGAAAUCCAUUUGAAUUUCAAUCGAUAAAAGUGUGCAUUGAAAAAGCGUGUUAGAGAGUUUUCUGCUAACACUCUUCUUUAUAACCAAAGAGGACAACGGAGAAUUAGAAAGUGGUCUGGGUGGUUUUUGGCUGAAUAGAGAAGUUGAUCCUCCUUAAAAUUGACUUAUCUCUGUUACUAUUGUUUUACUGCUCAUCAUCUUGUGAGGAGCAUUGCUCCAACCAUUUUGAUUUUUUAGUUCAUUUCAGUUUAUUUUCCAAUUUACAGAGUAAUACCCACAUAUUUUCCUCUAUCUGUUCUGGUUACUAUUAGUUUUGUUGAAAGGAAAAACAGAAACUAACCCCACUUUAAGUAACUCAAUAUGAGAGCCAUUGAUGUUCUUAAAUGUUACAUCAUUGAGAAAUUCAGUUCCCUCCCCCCAUAUUGCUCAAAACUGGGACAAAAUCUACCAGAAUGUAGUUUUAGAGUAAAAAAUAAGACACCAGAAGAUAGCUUCUGGUGGUUGAUAGGCUUUUGGAGCAAUACGGGGUGCAGAGAGCCUCACUCUACAUACGAAUUAAUUUGCUUAAAAGCGAUUGGCACAUAGGAAUACAUUUAAGCAAAGAUCAUUGCUUUUUGAUUUACAGAAGUUAUCCUGUGAAACUUUUGAAUAUAAACCAUUGAGCGCAAAACAUUUCAAUCUUAACACUGUUGGAUUCAGAUUCGUUUUCUUUCAAAAUCAGUUUCUUUUCCCACCAUCAAACUUAGAUACAGUCACUUUGUCAAAUAAAGCUUAUAGUUUCUUUAAUGUAUUACAGCAAUUCCUUUAUUAUUUCAUACUGCUAAUCAUUGUGUUGUCAAAAUGGCAUUCUGAUACAAACAGGUGGCAAACGCAACUGAUCAUGUGAAGUCGGGUAACGAUGCUCUACAUACUGCAAAGAGUUUGCAAAAGAAGUCAAGGAAGUGCAUGAUGAUUGCCAUUAUAUUGGUCCUGCUCAUCGCCAUCUUUAUAGUACUCGGUGUUGUGAAACCAUGGAAGAAGUAACCAGAAGAGUAAAGUCACUUUUACACAAGAGAAAUUUCAAUAUUUCAAAUACAUGUUUUUUCAAGUACAUGUCAACAUACAUUUGAUACAGCAGUUUAACAAGGUUCAUGGUAUCUCCUAUUUUUACAUUUCUGAUAGAGGUAUCUAUGUUUAUUGAAUUGGCUUUCUGUGCAUAUUUGCACGGUUAAUGCAUACUAAGAUGUCAACUUUUAUAUACUCUGAGUAAUCAAAGGAAAAAAAAAUGCACCUUUGCAAUUCAUGGCUAUCAUUUACUUGUGAGCAUUGAUGACUUUCUUACCGGAGAUCAAUGCUACCCACACUUCACUUUGGUUAGCCAACUAUUAUGCUUAUUUAACCAAUGAUCUACUUAUAGUUAACCACCAAUCUAAGAGGGAUUUGGCAACUAGUAGUUACUCCCUCUGUAAGGAAAUAAAAGUAAAAAUAGGUCAAAGAUUUUUGUUACACACGGAGUAGGUGGUUAAGCAUAUGUAGGUUAUUGUUGGAUAGGCUAGAUUGAAAGUUAAUGAAAGUGAUGUGUGUAUAAGUCUAGCAUGGUAGUAUGUUCAGAAAAAAUAACUUCAGAAAAUGAUUGAUAUAACUUCAGAAAAAAUAAAGCAUGGUAGUAUGGUAGUAUGUUCAGAGGUAUGCAUACAAUUGAGGCAAGCUUGAAUUUUGUGAAGUUAUUCUAGAUAAAUAAGCUAUUUAUCUAAUUAACACAAUGGUUGAGAAUUAUAUAAAGUUACAUUGAAAAGGUAAAUGGAUGUCGAACGGUGGCACAACUUACAAGUUGGAGAAAAGAAAUCUCAUGGCCAUCAUUUUCUGUAAGAAAUAUUUGUGAUCAAUGGGGGAGCUUCUUUAGGGCACGUGAAGCAGCUUCCCCAACCCCAAAACCCCUUUUUUGAAAAAAUUAACAUGAGGGAUAUGAGCCAUGUUGUGCCACCAUCGAUCCAAUCUUAUCAAUUUUAUAAUCUCUUCAUCAAUUGAGGUAACUGAUGUCAAAGAUAGAAUUACCUUUUUAUAUAAUCAUGUGCUCAUUUCAAAGGCUUGAACAUGAGCUAGCUUGGAGCUUUAGCGAAAAAGCAAGGACUACAAAAACUAAUCACCUGCUUUCAUACUCUGGCUGUUUCUAUAAUAGUAUCUAUAGCUAACACUAACAUAACUUCCUUUGAGUAUGAACAUAUUUUGUUUGUGAUUGAAAGAUGAAAGAAAUUUAUCUCUGUAAGCUUAUAUUUACAGGAAAAAGCUUCCCUAAAGUAAAUUUGCCUCUAAUUCAAACAAGUAUGGAUAUAUUCGCCACUUGCUCAUUUUAGAGACACGUUCACUUUAGAAGUGCUAUCUCUGACUCACGUACCAAACUUUGAUUUCAUCAAAACGAGAAGGAAAAUACACGUACAUACCUUUCAAACCUGUAUCUCAAAAGUUAUCACACCUUUCAACUGUUGCCAAAACUCAUCAUUACCCUGAAAUAUUUAGUCGGUUUUUGCUACUGCUUGCACUAUCAUCAUGCAAUAUCUCAGUUAUCUUGCAUAAUUCUUGGGGUGCUUUGAAAUUUUCAACAGCCUAAGCACCUAUUGUCUCCAUUGCUAGCAAUAUCAUGAGAUCUCAUCAGUAGAGCACAUACUAUUAGCCAUUAUCAUUGCUCAUCUACAACAAAAAUCUUCCAUACGCAUCAAGGCCUCAUGAAAAAACAGUGAGCUAACACUAAAGUUUUGAAGGCAUGUCUGGCAUGAAGAAAGAAGAAUAGCAGGAAAAAAGUUUCACCAAUUGCAUCUUCCCUCAGCAUCCAUAGCGCUUAACGAGGAAUGAAGUCAUUGAAUACCCUGAAGUUUUGAUAUUUUCAUUGCUGAAUAAGAUAGCCCAGAUCACAAUCAAACAAAGUUUAUCAACUGCAAGCUGAUAUUGCCCAACAUUCACCACUAACCACAAGUUCCAAUUUUAACUGUCUAUUCUCGUCCGUUGAAUAUCGCCUCCAGCUAUAUUUGUAACACUUUCUUAUCAGUAGGAGAAAGAGAGAGAACAGUCUAAUUUAUUGAGGGGAGAAGAGAGGCAAUAGGCCAUACAUUCUCUAGUGGGAAUUCAAACUCUGUCUCUCUGGGUUGCAAAACUAGGCAGUCACCACCGCACUAGCACCCACAGGAUUACUAGCAAGUAGCAAGCAACACAUUUCACUGGUCCCUUUUCUUGAUUAAAUUCAAACCUUCUAAAAUAAUUUGUUAAAUAAAUAUCAGGAAUAGGAACUAUACCUUUUUCAAUUAGGCACAUUAUCUAGGAGAAUUUAUUUUAUUUUAAAAGUGGAGAAAAUAUAUUAAACUUUCAGAAUUUCAUCUUUUCUUGAUAGAUGACCCACUCCAGUACUCCACGGUAGCAGAUGAACAAAUUUUUAGCUAUCAAAACUAAAACAAAUUUAUGGAAGUACACAUAGCCAAUUAAUUUUUAACCAAAAAGUACAUAUGGCAACUUGAACAACCUUUUUUCAUUCAAAUCAACUACAUGAAGGGAAUUACAGUAAUUUAUAUCCCAACAAGUUUUCAUAUUUCUUGGCAUCUUGGGUUAUUACGACUAAGGGCCCGUUUGGAUUAGUCUUAUUUUGAGCGUAUGCAAAACAACUUAUGCAAAUAAAUAAGCUUUUAAGUAUUAUUCUCUAGUUUGUCAAUGUAGUUUAUGAAAAAACAAUUUAUGAAAAUACAAUUUUUGUUAUUGAAAACUUCGAAAUUAACAUAAAAUCUUAGUUACUUGUAUAAGCUAUUUUUCAUAAGCUCAAAAAUAAGCCAGUCCAAACGGGCGGGCCCUAAAUCUACAACCAUAGCAUUUAUUAGUCCUCCGGCAUAUGAAAUGAAAUAAACAUCAAGAGUAGCACUAUCACUAUUUUAAGACCCCAAUAUGAUUAUCAAACUAUCAAAUACCAAAAAAGGUAUGUCAAGCAGAUUAAGCUUCGUGUAAGGUAAGGGACAAAAACAUAAACCUUCAAGCAGGCAAAAAACCUCAAACAAUCAUGUGUCAAACAUUAUUAAACAACCAAUGGUUGACAUUUUAAUUUAGUUCCAAAGCAGUCCUUUUUUUUUUUUUAACGGGAAGUGCUUUUUAUCAAACAACGAUAAUCAUAUAAACUUUACUCAGAUACUCUUGGCAGUUAAAAAAUAACAGAAUCUCACUGCAUUUUUUUGUCAUGUGGUGUCGUCCACUGUCCAGUUUAUCUGGUUACAGUUUCCUCUUCUAAUUGUUUUAGCAAGACUUGUAUGAGAUAGAGAUAAAAGUACUGAUGGUACGCUCAAGGAAGAGUAAUGUUACUACUGUUUCAAAUAGAAUCGAAAGACAUGAUAAACCUGCAUAGUAAAUAUGAAAGUUCUACUUUGUCAAAUCGCUUCUGCGUCUCAGAAUCUCAACACCUAAGUAAUCAACCGGACCCUGAAUCGCCACAUGAGGCUUUCCAACCUUCACACGAACAGUAGAUAUUUCUUUGUGAACUUCCAAAGUAGCGAUUGCAAUUUUAUGGGCCACUGACUCCAGAAGGUUGUGAGCUGGUCCUUCAAUAACUUUCUUAGCUAUAAGAUAUAUUUCAGCGUAACUAAAAGAAUCAGACAAGUUAUCAGAUUUUCCAGCAGGUUUGAGAUCCAACCAAGCAUCCACGUCUACCACAAACUUCUGUCCUAGUGUCCUUUCUUCCGCUAUUGCUCCGUGAAAACCAUAGAAAGUCAAUCCCCUCAGAAUAAGUUUGUCUCCCCCUAUUAAUGCAUCAACACCUUCCAUUCUAUCCGCGCGCGCGCGCACACACAGAUAAAAAAAUUCUCAUGAUAACAAACAAGGGGUCAUAAAAAUGUAAUAUUCAGCAUCUGAAAAAGAUCGAAGGACAACGAUGCAGUAUACAGCAUAGCAAGAAUAAACUCAGAUAUCUAAGAUUGAUACUAGACUAACAACUGCAUAGCUCAAACUCCCAUUAGCUGACGAAAAACAUGAUUCUGUUUCAAAACGUCGCAUUUGAUUGACUGUUUUCAUCUAAAAUAGAGUUACCUCCAAAAUAAACAUCUGAUUAAAAGUAAAAAAAACGUAACUCUAUGUAGAGUUGAGAGUUCCACACUUUCAUUUUUACCGCAAACCUACUUUUUAUGAUAAAAGUUUUCAACCAUAAACCAAUUCACUCGAAACCUACGAAGCACAGGCACUCCUCGGACUAGGCGUGUCCCAGUGUCGGACACGCGUCGUGUUCGACAUCGACACAUAUAAUCACACUGAAUUAUGUGAUUUUCUCAAAUUAUUAGCGGUGUCGGCAUGUCAGCGUCUGUGUCUGAUGUCCACGUCUGUGCUUCAUAGCUCGAAACUAACAUUUAAAACAAUAUAAUUUGCAACCACUCACCCAAACAGGCACUAAAAACACAAUUCUUUAAGUUUUCCACUGAACUUGUGAGCUACUGAAACUGUUCUCCUUUUUUCUUUUAGGAUUCAUUUAUUUCUUAGGAUGUUAAUUCACAUAUAUGCAAUCUGCUUUAAUAAAAAUGCAGUCUUUGCAUUAAACAGAGAAUCUCAAUGUAAAUUUAAUAACUUGUUCACUUAAUUUCCACAUAUAAAUCACUUCAUAAUUAAAUAAGAUAAUCCAAAAUCAAAUUUACAAAGGCUCAACAAAAGACAAAAAAUCCAUGAUUUAGAAUAUCCACUGAGCUUUUGAGCUCUUAAUACUUUUUAAUUUUUGGAUUUAAGAUUUCUCAGAAAGUAAAUUCGCAUACAUGCAAAGCUUUUAUUAUUAUUAUUAUUAUGCAGAAUUUUAAAAAAAAAAAAAAAAAAAAAAAAAAAAAAGGAAGAGCUAAUAAACAAAAGAGACAAAAGCAUAUAAUUUUACUGUCAUUAUCAUCAACAAAACAAACAGCGUACUGAUAAGAUCUAAGCAGAAUCAGGAAUAUAAUAUUCAAAAUCUGAAAAUAAUACAAUAAUAAGAAAGAGGAGUUUGAUUUGAAGAAUUAGAAGGUGAUAGAAAUAAAGAGUAUACCUUGAAAAGCUUGGAAUUCGAUGUUCCUGCAUGUAUGGCUAAGGUUAAGAAGAUGGAUCUAUUUGCUGUGAUUUGUGUUUUGGGAGAGAGAAAGAGGAGAUGGUGUUGUGAGGAGAAAGAGACGUGAGAGGAUGAAUUUUUCUGCAAAGUUUUUUUUUUUUAGGUGUUUAUUAAAAACUAUGAAAAUUAUUCAAAGGCAAAAGAAAUGUAUGAUUAAACAAUAACCAAUUAACAAUUUGUAUCACGUUUCUAGAAGAAAAAGAAAGUAAUAUGCUGGUUAUAUUUAAAAAAAUAUAUAGAAGUCUACGUUGAAAAAAAUAGACAACUUCAAUUAUAGACCAGUAGGAAAUUUAUUUUAAAAAAAUUAUAAACCUAGUGCAGUUUUUUUUUAUUUUUUAUGUAUUGUUUCUACCAAUUGAACUAAACUCGCGACUCUUAAAAUAUAUAUAUAUAUAUAUGCCACGUAACCUAAUAAUAAAUUAAAUUUACCCAAUUUAACGUUUAGAAUUUGUUCCGACAAUUAACUUAUUAAAAUUGAUUCAAUAAUCAAAUGAGUUAAAUUUGAUUUGAGAAUGACUAAAUUGCAUUUUUGGUCCCUUAACUAUUUAGUUAGUAUCGCUUUGGUCUCUUAAUUAAAAUUCGAUUUAUUUUGGUCCCUUGACUUCUUUCCGUUACACAUUUUAGUUCUUUUCGUUAGUUUUAAUUCAAAAGCGUUAGGUUUUCUUCAUUUUCUUCUGAAAUUUUUUUGAGAUUCUUGUUGUUGAAGGUUGACGGAGAUAAUACGAAGAAGAAAAUGAAAAAAUCUAACGUUUUUGAAUUAAAACUAACGGAAAUGACCAAAAUGUGUAACAGAGAGAAGUUAAUGGACCAAAAUAAAUUGAAUUUUAAUUAAGGGACCAAUGCGAUACUACUUAAAUAGUUAAGGGGCCAAAAAUGCAAUUUAGCCAUUUAAGAAAUGUAUGAUUAACAAUAACAAAUUAAAAAUUUGUUUCACAUUUCUAGAAGAAAAAGAAAGUAAUAUGCUGUUUAUAUUUAAAAAAAAAAAAAUUAUAGAAGUCUACGUUGAAAAAAAAUAGAUAACUUCAAUUAUAGACCAGUAGGAAAUUUAAAAAAAAAUAAAAUUAUAGACCAAGUGGCGGCAUAUUUUUUUGUGGUGGUCGGGGCUCGAAUUUUAGACCUUGCAUAUUUUAUGCAUUGUCCCUACCAACUGAACUAAAUUCACUACUCUUAAAAUAUAUAUAUAUAUAUAUCUGUGUGUGUGCGCGCGCGCCACUUAGUGCGUGUAGAAUAGAAUAAUAUUGUUGGAUGUCCGUGUUCACUUUUAAUUAAUUAACAUCCGUUAAUGAACUUUAUUUAACAACGAAUUGUUUAAAAGAAUCCAAGUUCGAUUCAUAACUUAAACAAUAGUAUUUUAUCUGAUUUUAUUUACUUAAUUAUCAAACAAACUCCAUACUACCCAAAUCUCUUCCGGCGGGAAUCAGAGAAGAAAGGAACAAAAAGAAUCUAUACAUGUGUGUGUUGGAAAUUUAUUCUUCAACCGUGAAGGUGGUGUGCGUCAAUCUACCUCUCCAAUUUGCAGCUUGGUGAAAUCACGGUAAAAUCAAUAUAAUUGGGAUACAAGAUUUGAAUAUGCACUAGGUUUGACGAUAUAAUUCUGUUAAAAAAUAUAGGUUUUUGUCAAAAUUAAUGUGUGACCAUGAUAAAACAACAUUUAGAUAGAGAGCAUCAUCGUAAAAAGAUGUAUUUUAUUGUUGUAGCACAAAAUUACUGUCUAAACUUCCAAAUGCACUCUUUCAUAGAAAAAAAAACUUCAAAAUGCAUGCACUCACACUUUUAUUGUUCCAAUUAGGAGUGAAUACACAAAAACAGACAUGCUGUGUAUAUGAACCAUGCAUAUAGCAUUUCUCUUGACACUUCAUUGGCUAGUGGAAGAGUGUCUUGAAAUCCAGUAAUUCUUUAUUUCUUCAGCUGUUCUUCCAGGUAUUCUUCCCGCAAUUAAAGGCCACCUGAAAAUGAAUAUACUAUAUUCAAAUGGUUAGUUUUAUUAAAAAAAAAUGAUAGAUAAGCCAAGUGUUAAUUAAUUAUAUAAAGGAAAUAUAAUUUAAUCAUACUUCAUUACCUAUCCCCCACUAGUUUAUGCAUUCUGAUGAUAAGAUCUUCCUCAUCUUUAGAAAAUUCAACCUUGGAAUUUACUUGAGUACCACUGGAAUUGGAUUGCAGUGCUAUAUGUAAAUUUAAAAGCAAAAAAUCACACUUCCUUAUCUAAAUGUAGUUUGUCAUAUUUAAUUUUUUUUAAGUAACAAAAAGAUUUUUUUUUUUAUUAAACAAGGUAGUUAGGUGCAAAACUUUUACAUGGAUCAUCAUCUCUUAUACGUAUCUUCGGUCAUUAUUAUAAGAAAAAAAUCAACUUUUAAAAUUAAUUGUAUAUCUGAUGCAAUUAAUCUAUUUUAUUGUUUAGAUAUAUCAUUUAUUCAAUAGACCUAAAAAAUAAUUUUCUUAUAAUAGUAACAAAGGAGUACACUUAAACAUUAUUAUGUGUAAAAACUCUUUUAUUGAUAAAUGUAUUUCUAUCAUGGAAUUGAGUGCUAAUUACCAAUAAUUCCUCAGAGCUAACAUGCAUGUUCUUAAUCAAACAUAUAUAUGGGGAAAUGAAUUAACUAACUAAAGGGUACCUAUAGAAGAAUCAGAAGAAACUUCCUCAGAGGAGCAUUCCACGUUGUCCAUAUAUCUUGCAAAGGGAAGUUUGGAAAAAGAUAUUACUAUAUGGUAUAUAGUAUUGUAUGUGAAUUAAUAGGCGGUGGUGUGUGUGUAAUAUAUAUAGGGCAAAGUAGUAUGGAGGAUCAGGGUUAGGGACAAUCGUUGACAAGAGUAGUGAAGAAUGGGUGGUGGAGAGGAUGGGAGCAAAGUAAAGAGAAGACUGAAGGUUGGGGUUUGACCAUUUAACUCUACUUUUCUUUUUGUUCCUAUAGGUAGUUGGACAUCAUUGUUAGCUCAAUAAUAUUAUUUCUGCUGGUUUAGCAAUUUUCUUGCUAAGUUGGUGGUUUUUGCCACUAAAAUGAUCGAGCCACUAUUGUUGGUUGUAUUAUUAUUUUUUGUCUAAUAUUUUCAACUCAUUUUUGAGUUUUCCUUCUAUAUUUUUCAUUUUUGACAUUCUGUAAAGUGGUCGUUGAAAUAGUUUCACUGUUAGCUAGGGAAUACAACUGUGACACAUUAUGUGAAUAUGUGACACCUACGUACACACUAAUCUUACAUUAAUGUCACCAAUUUUUAGACUAAUAUGCUAAUAAAAUUUGGUUCUUAGACACUAAUUUUCUAUAAUCAUUCUCAUGUAUAAAUAUUGAUAACGUGUAAUGAGACAUGUCUAGUUAACUCUGUCAUGUCAUUCUCUUUAAUGUUUAAUUAAGAUGUCAAUUUUUGUUUUUGAAAAAAAUGCUUAGAUAUGAAUUUACCAACUUAUUAAAAAGUCAAAUUAUUUUGACUAAUACUUACAUUUUUUAAUAUCAAUUUAGUGAAGUAUUCAAUUUAAUAGCUUUUUAUAUAUAAAAGUGGUUUAAUGACAUCAACAUAGUUUUUUUUAUUUUUAAGGAAUGACAUCAACAUAUAUAGUUGCGUUAUUAGACUUCCACAUUGUGAUAUAUCAAGAUUCACAUUUUGUUUAAAAGAGUUGUCUAUAUCCAACAUGCCUCAGACAAAAUUACCUUUGAUGGAGAGAUAUUAUGGAAAGAAAAAAAAAAGUUGUUUCAUGACUAAAGACAAUUUUUCUAGGGAAACUCGGAGUAAAUUUGAAAUUAUAAAAUUAUCGUAAUUUCUAAAUAUUUUAAUUUUAAUAAAAUAAAAAAUGAUCAGUACUAUAAUAUAAAUGUUAAAUUGACGGAUUUUAUACACUUUAAAAUUAUUCAAUAUAUUUUUAUAUUUUAGUGAUUAAAUUAGAGAUGACAUAAUUUACGGGUUAAAUAUUUAGUGCAUGGAGGUGGGUUCCAUAGAGGUCAAGUUGAAUGCUCUAUGGGCAACGAACGACAUGUCACUGUUUAUGGUUUUAGAGGAGGAACAAGGAAUAACAUGAUGAUAGUUGUGUGAGUAAUAGGGUCUCUCCGAAAGCUAUCACUCAGAAACAAUUAUGAAAACUAAAUAAAUUGAACUAAAGAGAAUAUAAAAUUGGCUAAUCAAAUAAAAUACAUUUCUUUCAAAAAAAUAAAAAUAAAAAUAAAAUAAAAGAUAUUUUUCCAUUGAUUUUGGUUCCUUUUCUUAAUUAGAUAAUACACUUAAUAUAUAAUAUUUUAAAUAGAUCCUAACCAUCUAUGUGACAUAAUCUUGAGAUGUGUAUUUUAUUUUUCUUUUAUAAGAAAAAUUUAGGGUGAGUGGAUGAAGCAUUAAUUUAUGCUAGGAAAGUCCUUCCAACUCAAAAAUUAUUUACAAAGAUAUAUACAUUUAGUGGGUACUUAUUAAGAUUGUAAAAUCCGCUCGCCGACCUUAGUUUUUUAAUGAGAGAAACUUCAACUUCUCUCUAAAUUUUUUUUAUCUUUCAUUCGUCGAUGAGGGGUGAUUUUAGGUCAUUUUUGUCCUAGAAUCAUCCUUCUGCAUAUUUUUUUCUCGUUUCUUUGUAUCUAAAUAAAUGAUUUUCGCAUAUACCAAGUUUUUUUUUUCUUUUUUGUGUUUUUCGUGAUUCUGUCGUCUAAGUGCCGUGUUGUGUUGUUCGUCGUCUUGUGCGACGUUGUUUGAUUUCACAUCUUGUUGUAAUGUUCGGUUGGUUCAUAUUGAAAUAUCAACUCGAGUCAAUCACAGAUUCAAUCAAUGAUUUGGAUGUCAACAUUGCAGGCCCGGAAGCAUGUGUAUUCUAGUGAUUUAUAUUUUAUCAUAUUAUUUGUAGACAUUUUGCCGUUGUAUGUUGUUAACUUGGGUGUUAUAAGUUUGUUCGCACAUUCACCUUUAUGUUUUAAACAAUGUUGAUCAUGUUAUUGGAUCUAAUGUAUUCCAUCAAUUUGAAUGAAUGAAUAUUGUUUUGUUUGUAGGGAAAAAAAUAUAUACAUUUAGUCAUUUAUUUUCUUCAAAAGUAUUAGUAAAGUUCAACAAGGACCAAUCAAAUUUAAGAUCUAUUUUUUUUACAAUUAGACCAAACAUUUGGAGUUAAAAACUUAAGAUGCAUUUUUUUUUUCACAAAGAUGUAUAAAAUAAAAUAAUUAGAUUUAUGGUUUAACAAUUGAUCUCAAAUGAUUAAUGAACUCUAAAAUUUCAUGAAUUAAGUAACACAAAUAAAGAGUGAACCAUCAUAUUCGUCCUUGAAUUUUCAUGGGUCGGCCAAAUUCAUCCCUCAAUUAUGCGAAAUAUCAACUUAGUCCCUGAAUUUGUCAGACGUCCAUCAAAAAGGUCCCUUCGUCCAAGUGCUCCGUUAGCCAUGCUGAUCUGUUGCCCUGCAUGCUGUGUUGUCUUGUACACGUGGCAAGAAGGAAGCCACGUGUUCAAGGACUAAUUUAAUUGAUUUGGAAAAAGUCCAAUUUUCAAUUUUCAGUUUAAUUAUUUUUUCUUCUGCUUUUCCCAUUUUGCCCGUGCAUUACCCAUACUUCCUCCCUCACAUUUCUCUCAGAAACAUCAAAAACGUCCUUGACUCUUCUCCUUCCCGCUAAAACUGUCUCCAUUCUCACCUCUCCAAAACCAUCAUCAUCUUCGACGAUUCUCACGUUUUUGAAGUUGUUGUGUUCGGCUGUGGUUAAAGGUAACACCUUUCCUCUAAUUUAUCAAGUUUUUGUGUUCGUAUUUACCAUUUUUUUGUCUGUUUUUUCGUUUUAAGUUUUUAUCAUUUUGUUUUUGUGAUCGUUGAUGCUUGUCUUGUUCUUUGUUUGUGUUUGUUGCGUUUUUGAGACAGUUGUUUUGAUUAGAGUUUUAGGGUUUUGGAUUAAGACUUAAAAAUUUAAAUUUUUUUCAGGUUGGUUUCUAAAAUUGAUGAACAUUUAAGUUUCUAAUGAAGGAAUUUAUAAGUUGAAUAAAACAGUUUCAAGGAUCAAUUUGAUAUCUGAUUAAACAAUUCAAGGACUUAUUUGAUGAUUUUUUAAUAUAACGUAGAAAUCUAUUUGAUAGAUAGAGAAAUAAUUCAAGGACUAAUUUGAUGGUAAUAUUAUUACAGAAAUGUUACAUUCCUCAAUCAUCUUCAACCUCUUUUCAUUAUAACUUUACCAUAGGCCAAACAUAUAAUGGCCUUCCUCGGUUUUUUGAAGUAUUGGAUUUUCUAACAACACAAAUUCUAGAACACCAACAUUCAAGCACUCUCACAACACCAUUAAACUUGAAGCUCGAAGAUGAAACUCGACUUUCAUAACUGUUUUUUUUCCAUAUUCCCACCCCCCAUCAUUUCAGAUUCAAUUUCAAUAGUUUUGCUUCAAGAAACUUUGAGGAUUUUGGCUUUCAAAUUCAAUACGAAAAAAAUUAGGGUUUGAAGUUUUUUGAAUUGGCGAAGAACUGGACCAUUUAUAAUUGGAGGAUAUUUUGGUGAUUUUAGAGUGUAAAUUGCAGAUUGUGUAAUUAGGGUUCCAAUGUUAUACAAUUGGGGAAGAAAGAGCUGUUAGGGAAGAAAAGAGCCGUUUGGGAAGAAAGUCAAAACAUUUUCUGCAAAUCAAUCAAUUUAGUCCUUCGAAAUGUUUGUUAUUAUCGACCAAAUUAGUCCCUGCCUACAUGCCGUCUGACAUGUGAGAGGUUAACGGCCAUGUCAGCCACGUUAACGCUCUGUUUGAACAGAAUGACUAACUUGAUUGACAUUUAACAAAUUUAGGGAUUAGAUUGAUAUUUUGCAUAAUUAAAGGACGAAUUUGGCCGACCCGUGAAAAUUCAAGUACGAAGUUGAUGAUUCACUCCACAAACAAAUAUAAAAUAAUACUCCCUCAAAAAAAAAAAAAUUGAAUUAAAUUUAAAAUAAAAUAAAGAAAAAUUAAAAAACCAUCGUUUCAACAUCUGGGAAACGCACCAGCUUUUGCUGGUCUCUCCAGCACCAUCUAUGUGGUUUUCGAAAACAGAUCAAAACUCCUAGUUCAUCUCUCAACUCAAUCUCCCUCCGGCUGCCACCAAGUGCAAGUACAGACUACAACCGUUACAGACGCGCGCCGCUCCUUAACCCUGCCGUGACCAUUCUUCCGCUUCUAACAAGGUAAACAAUCAGCACCUUCAUUCAUUUUUUAACAACACCAUCUAACUGUUCGAUGAAAUGCCCCUUUGAAAAAAUCACAAAUUUCUCUCAUUAUUUUCAUUGCAGGAUCAUUCAAUGGCUUUCAGAAACACAUUCUACAACGAUCUUCUUCUAUACCAAAAAUUGGGUCAGUCUUGUUUUGGGAACCGUGGCAGAUUCUAUGCUACCAAAGUGGAUUUGAGGAAACUUCGACCCAUGAUUCUCAAGAGAAUUGAGAGACGUUCCCAACUUUACCCGGUUCGUGCUAUGAUUCCUGUUGCCAAUGAGGUGUUACUUGCUAGGAAUGUUCUCAUCCAUGGUGUUUCUACUCUCAUCAAUUCGUUUCCUCUCAUGGCUUGCAAGUGAGUGAGUUUUAAUUUGUAAUUACACCUUUUUUUAUUGGUGCUUUUUUGGGCAUGUUUGGAUUGACUUAUUUGAGUUUAUCUACUUAUAUAAGCACUUGUGAAACUCUUUGUGAGGGCCUAUAGUACGUCAAUAACUUGUUUUUAGCUUAUUUCCGUAAGCUCGUUGUAAUCUAUGAAGCACGGAUACGGACACCGGACACUGACACGCCGACAUGGCAAAUAAUUUGAAAAAAUCACAAAAUUCAGUGUAAUUACAAGUGCCGGUGUCGUGUCGGUGUCGGACACGAUGCGUGUCCGACACCGGGACACGCCUAAUCCGAGGAGUGUCCGUGCUUCAUAGGUUGUAAUUAUACUUUUUGGGCCCAUUUGGAUUGACUUAAUUUUGAGCUUAUGCAAAUAAAUAAGCUUUUAUGUAUUUAUUAUUCAUAAGUUCUCGCUAACCAAAAUUGUAUCUUCAUAAACUACCUUGACAAAAUUAUGAAUUAACAUAAAAGCUUAUUUAUUUGCAUAAAUUAUUUUUCAUAAGCUAAAAAAUAAGCCAAUCCAAAUGGGCCCUUGGUGUAUAUUUGGUUUUACGGCGAGAAAAAUAGAGUUUGAGUGAAUUGAUUCUGGCGAAAAGUUAAGUUGUGGGUAAAGUAAUUUAUGUUUCAAUAUAUACGUAAGUAAAAGUGAGUUGAAUAAUAAAUUUGAGUGUAAAAAUCAAUUCUAGAGAAUUAGAAGCUACAUUUUCUAGAUUCUAGUAGAAUCAAUUCUAGAGGCAAAAUCAAUUCUACUCUAGGGAAGCCAAACAUGUCAAAAUCAAUUCUACACCUCUAGAAUCAAUUUGCACUCUUCCAAAAGUGGAAGAGAACAUACACUUAGAGAUUAAAUUGAUUUUAUUUUUUUAAUGUGAAGAGCAAGUGCAAUUGAAAAUGAAUUUUAAGCUUUGGGACCAAAAUUUAUGUGUUUGGGGUUGGUGCUCUAAAAUUUAUGUUGGUACUUUUGCUUUAGGAAGCGUCUUCUGUAUUAGCAUUGAAUAAAGUUGUAAUCUUUUUCUAGACCAAAAAAAAAAAAAAGUUGUAAUCUUGUUGAUACUCGUGGUUGCUUAUGAGCAAUGUAUACUGGGUAUGUUUUGAUACUUUUAAUUUUGGUUCAAAUUUCCAUUUAGGCAGUAAGAAGAUGGUGGAAGAAAUACCUGAAAAGGUUUUUUUUUGGUGAGAGAACAUAAGAUUGACAACAUUAGCCUAUUACAACAUAAGUGUAGAAAGACUUCUACUUGUUACUUGUGCUUAUAAAUGGUGAAUGUCACCAUAAAUCACGAGUUAUCCUUUUUUCUAUAUAAAAUGCUUAAGUUAUUUUUCUUGAGUAUUUGUGAGCUUUUGAUCUCUGAGCGUUUUUGCCAUUUAAUAACUUUCAAGUGUCACUAAGAAAAUUGUAUUUAACUUAGACUUGUGGUAUUCUCAAUGUUGUAAGCUCAAAUUAUUGAUAACUACGGUCUUUUCUAACUAUGGUAUUCAUUUACAGAUUUUGUCCAGAGAUAUACAUUGGUGAGCAGGGGCAUUUAAUUCCGACUUGCCGGGGUUACAAGAGACGUGCCAAGAACCGGGUUCAUGAAUGGGUCAAAGGUGGUUUGAAUGAUAUACUUGUUCCUGUUGAGACAUUUCAUCUUAAUAACAUGUUCCAAAAUGUUAUUAGGCAUGACCAAAGGUUUGAUUUUGAUCGUAUCGCUGCUGUUGUUGAGCUAUGUUGGCAAGCAGGGGCUGAUGUCCCCCAUGAUGAAAAUCUUAGUCCAAGUAGUUCGAACUUGGAAGCUGCUAAUGGCAAUGUUGAUGGUUUCGAGUCUUUGUCACCAAAUGUUCUUGCCGUAGUAGCAAAGAAAACUUUAGAAGCUUGGGAUGUUCUCAGGUCUGGGGUGGAAAAGUUGUUGUUGGUAUAUCCUGUAAAAGUUUGCAAGUAUUGUUCUGAGGUUCAUGUUGGGCCGUCUGGCCAUAAAGCUAGGCUAUGUGGAGUGUUUAAGCAUGAGAGUUGGAAAGGAGCUCACUUUUGGACUAAAGCUAAUGUGGAUAAUUUAGUGCCGCCAAAAAUUGUAUGGAGACGAAGGCCUCAAGAUCCUCCUGUACUUGUGAAUGAAGGGAGAGAUUUCUAUGGACGCGUUCCAGCUGUACUGGAUUUGUGCACAAAAGCUGGUGUCAUCGUGCCUGCCAAAUAUAAUGUUUUGAUGAAAGUGCAAGGUUUGUCUGGUCCGGCCAAUUAUAAGUUUGCAGCGGCAUUAGAAGGUCAAACAACAAACUGAAUCAUAAUCUGACACUCAAUCAUUUGGAGAAGAAAUCUGAGAGAUUCCUUUCAUCUGCCAUUUCCUGCAUAAUUUGAGGUUGUCUGGGAUAUCUGAAUAUGGAUCUCUGUGCCCGUUCUUCUGUUGGUCACAGAAAGAAAUUUUGAUCCCGACCAUAUUUUGUCUCCCAAAAUAUUUCUGCUGAGCAAAUUUGAAUCUCUACAUUUAUGUGUGACUGGACUUAAUGGACCCGCUUUUCAGAUUUGAUGAAGGUAAUUUAAUGUUCUACUUCUCCAGUCAAAGAUUCCACUCAAUUUUCCUUUUAAAUUAUAUUUGUCCAAUAAGGAAUCUUAAGUCCAAUAAUUGCUGGAAAUAUCAACAUAGGAGAUACUACAUUGUUGUAAAUGUGUGUAAAUUUUUUAUCUGUGCCCAAAAAAUGGCAGUUUAUCGCUGAAGUUUCAUUUUUCUUGAGAUAUCACACAAAUAGAAAGAUUACUUUGUUGACUGAAGAGUUUAUUUUUUAUCAAUUAUUAACUGUUUAGUUUGUAUAUUUGAAUCUUUUAAAGUAUUAGAUGCACUCUAGAGGGAAAAGCGCAAAGCUAUAAACGUCAAUUGAAAAGUCAAUGGAUAUAAUUGUGAUAAAAUAAAUACACGUCUGAUAAAUCACUGCAAGUGUAUGUUAGGACUCAUAAGAGCCAGGCACAGGUGCUCCGCUAUUUGAGUUGGUUUAUGGAAGGAACCCCCCCACCUUGAUUUUCUACUUUUCAGGGGAGGCUUUACUUUAGUAGAGGCAAUAGCAAAUGAUAUAUUGGAUAGCGAUGUGAUUCUUAAACAGUUUUCUUAUCAUUAACAGUGAAUCCAAAAACAAACGAAUCAUUCCGCGAACUAACAAAUAGUAGAGACGUGUCUAGUAAUGUGGGAGAUUAGGCAUGUCUUAAGUAGAGGUCAAACCAUUAGCAUUUAGUAGCUAGGCAUAGGGGUUAAAUCUCUAGCUUUUCACGAAGUAUUUUUGGCCAUUUUAGACAGUGGCUUAGGUAGGAGCAGUGGCCUACAAGUUUCAAUUUCUUAAAGGUUGUUAGGAACCCAAAAAUUGAAUUCCAAAGAAAGAACACUUUUAUGAAGAAAUAGGAUAGAAUAGGAGAGAAUCUCUCCUCCAAGGGUUUCACCUUCACAAUAGAGGUUAUACUCUAUUCACAAACUUUACAAUAUUCAAAGAUACUCUCUAACCUUUGUGUUGUCCUAUUUUUAUUUUUUUUAGUAGGCAAAUGUUGGUGGUUAGUUUCCGGGAUCGAACCCGGGACUUUCUUCUUAUAACUCCUUCAAUAUCCCUUAGCUCACCAACUGAGCUACCUACGCGGGACAUGUUAUUCUAUUUAUACACAUACUCUCUAACUAAUCCAAAUAACUAUAACUCUUAAUUACAUAUACUACUCUAAUUAGCAAUUAUUCUAUACCCCAAACAAACAAAGGUUCUUAAAAUCACCCAAUUUUCCAUGUUUCUCUAAACUCAGUUGAAAACCGUCCAACCACCUAAAAUGUUAAUAGAUAUAGGCAUGUAGAACAGUUAUUGGUAGGGUCGGGGCUUUUUGAAUUCAUUGAUUGAAGGAGAAAAGUUGAGGAAAUGCUGAAAUGUUAUAUGUAUUUUGAUUAUGAAGAAGAUAGUUGCAGGGAGAAGUUUUGUUUGUAUAUUUGCUGAAUCACUUGCAUUAAGCACAGAUGUCCUUUUACCACAUUAUUUUGCAUUCAAUUGAAAUGAAAACCUCAAGAGUGAUUCCCACAAAAUUGUGAAUUAUCUAAGCCAUCAGUGUAAAUAGGAAUCUUUGCAUCUAAUCAAUAAGGACUUUCAUCUGAUUUAGUACUUUUCUGUUUUUUCUUUGGAUAUUAUUGGCUGGCUUGUUAAGCUAUUGAUUGAUGUUAGUGAAGUACACUGUUACAUUAAUGGAAUCUUUAAUAUUUUGUAGUCAUUUCAUUUUAUUCAAUUUUAGUCAUAUAAAUUUGUAAAAGUAGCAGCUUGUACAACAUGUACAAACAGUAAAAUCUUUUAAAAUUUAAACACAAUAAUGAGCAAAACAAUAAGAUUUAUUGUAGUUGUUCAAAAAAUAAAUUAAAAUAAGAUUUAAUGUAGAAUGUGUUUUUCAACUUUUGAUUCUAAAUGUGACAAACAAUAACAACCUAUGACAAAUAAUCCAUAACUAUUAUGAUAAACUUCAAACUCAGACAUACCCACUGCGACUAACCGUCCCUUUAAACACAUAGAGCUGGUCUCCAUUUUCAACUCCAUGCCACCUAAGGCUACAACUAUCACGCAUGAUCCUCUGCCUAUGAAUAAACAAAUAAUCAUCAACUGGCAGAAUUUUUCUGCUCAGCAGCAACUGCUUCAAGUCAUUAACCGUGCUUGUAUCUUUCAUCUCCAAUGGAAUGGUGGCUGCAUUAAGCAAACUAGAGGAAGUUUGUAGCACAAAGCUCAGCUUUCUAGUUGGUGGUUCUUUUGUCCGGUUUGUGGUCUUGAGGAACACAAUAAUUUCAGAAAAUUCACGAAUACCAUAUUCAUUUAGGUUUCGGAAAUCUUCAUUCAGUUCCCUCCCCAAAAAGAAAAGCUUCAUUGAUUUGAUGGGGGUGUUAUCAAUGAUGUGAAUUUUUUCCUUCAAGCUAUGGACAGUAUCUGUCUUAUCCACCUCUAUGUUAAUCAGUCUAGCUGAGAAUUUUACUGUGAUUUGCAUUUUGUUAGGAUGGUGAAUGAUAUGUGGCUCCAUUGGCUUGAUGGUGAGGUCAAUUUUUGUGCCUUCACUGACUAUUGGGUAAUCUUCCAUGUCUAAUCCAUCCAGUAGUUCAAACCCACACACUGUUAGGAUUUGGUAAGCCACUGGAAUAGCAUGGAUUUGUUCUAUUUUCCUUUUGAUUUCUAAAACUGUUUCUAGGGUUCCUACUUCAAUGAAAAAUUGGUUUAUUUCUGUGGCAAUAAUAAUCCUCAUGAUGGAGCCUACUAUUCUUUGAUUGGAAAAAGGGAAACUAGAACUAAAAGAUUGAUCAGUUUUAGGAUAUAUAUCAACAAACAACAUUUCUAAUGUGUUAAUAACAAACUUUCAGUUAGCCUCAUGAGAUUAUGAAAGAAAAUGGACAUUAAUUUCAUGUAACUCAUGUUAAAGACAUGAGUAUUUGGUGCAUCCCUUAUAUAUUUGUAUUCUAGUGCGAGGCUCAAUAUCACACACAACAUCCCCCUUUUCUUUGUGUGUGUAAUCAUGCAUUCUGGGAUAUCUUUGAAAUUGCAAAAUUUGUUUUGACUAGUAAUUGAAUAAUUUUGAUGGAGAAUAUCAACAGCACAAUAAAGAAAGGGCAUCUUGAAGUUUUUUUUGGUCACAAAUAGGCAAUAGAAUCAUUUUACCAGUGUUGCAUCAAUGUAAUUGUACAUUGAUAUUUGAGAAUACACACUCAAUUUGGUUUUCAAUACAUGCAACGAAAAAAAUCAAGUUUAAUGGGAUCAAUUCAGCAAAUCUUAACUAAUUUAACCAUAUUUAAUUUAUUAUUCUUAAAAUAUGCUCUAAUUAGUUUAGGAUUUAAUAUUUUUAUGAAACAAGUUUGUCCGAAGAGAAAUUUAAGAAAUGCAAUUAUUUUUAUUUAUUACAAAUAGAGAACUUCUAUGAUACACUCGCAAUUUGAGGUGUACAGAUACACUUGCUUCCUGGAUCUAUAAAUUUUUAAUAAAUAAGAUUUAGUUGUUAUAAUUGUAAAUGAUAGAAAAUAAUUAUUUUUCUUCAAAAAAUAACUCAUUUAACUAUUAAUUUAAGGGUCAUGCUAACUAGCGUCCUAAAGACACAUGUUAAAAAACUAAACUAGAAACAUUCUCUUAAAUUUUAUGCUUUCAAAUCAAAAAAAGUAAAAAAUAAAAAUAAAAAUCAAAUACAUUGAUUACAGCACAAUAUUUCUAUUUUUGACUCAUUAACUUGAGCCUUAGGGUCCGUUUGGUUCGAGAAUUAGGAGGGGAGGGGAGGGGAGGGGAGGGAUUUUUACGGAGGGGAGUGGAGGGGAGAUAUUUUUAAUUAAAAGUGUGUUUGGUUCACAAGGGGAGGGGAGGGAUUUUAACAGUAUUUUACCGUUUUACCCUUAAACUUAAUUAAAUAAAAGAAACUGUUUGUUUUUACGAUUUCAGAAACUGACAAAGACAAGCACACAUCUAAGCCGCUAUUUUAUCUUAAACUAGCUCAUGUAUUUUGCUCCAAGCAUCAUAUUGUUUUUUUUUACAAUGAGAUGAUGAAAUUACUCACAAUUCACUUUGGAGGAAGCCUCAAGCAGUCGUUGACAACAACAAAGUAGUAGUAAGAGCGGUUUGUACAUCUAACAAAUAAGAGUGGUAGAUUAUAUAAUAAUAAAAAUUGUUACAAGGAAAAUAUAACAAAAUAAUAAUAAUAAUUGUUACAAGAAUAAGAUAACCUAAUAAUAAUAAUAAGAUUGUUACAAAAAUAAUAUAAUCUAAUAAUAAUAAAAGUUGUUACAAGUUUAAUAUUGAGAUUUGAAAUUAAUUUAAGGAUAAUUAUGGCAAUGCAAUAAAAUUUUAAAGAGAUUUGCUCCCCUCCCCUCCCCUUCCCUUCCCUUCUAAAAAUUGAACCAAACACUUCAAAUUAAAAAUCUCCCCUCCCCUUCCCUCCCCUCCCCUCCAAAACUCUCGAACCAAAUGGACCCUUAAGAGUACAAAUUAACAUUUUCCUUAAUUUAAAGGGUCUUGCUAACAGGGCACUUGUUAAAAAUUUGAAAAUAGAAACAAUCCAUAACUUUCAUGUAGAAAAAAUUGCUUUUUGAUAUUUCAAUGUGUUGAAUACACAAAUCCCAAAGUAAAAUUUCUAUUUUAAACUUCUUAUCAAAUGUCCUUAUUAAGUGUCCUAAGGUCACUUGUUAAUAUUUCCCUAAUUUAAAUAUUUGGUGUAUCGGUACAAUUGAAUUUUCAUUUGUACUAUAGAUUUGCGUAAAAAAAAAGUGAUUAUCGAAUUUUCUUAAUUAAAAUAGUCAUUUAUCAAUAGUUUUGCUGAUGUUUUUUAGUACCGCUCUUCUCCCAUCUGUUUUUUCUCAUUUUCAGCCGAGCGUGAGUUAACUCACGUAGGUGUAUUCUCGACGAGAGUUAACUCACAUGUGUAUUUCUAAGCAGGAAUGAGCAAAAAUAUACGAAAGAAGAGCAAUUCUAGAUAUUUUUAACUCAUGUCCUACCCCUUUUAGAACGUCUAGGCCAAGCACGGUCCAUUUAGGGCGCUUCUUUUUCCAUGGUGCAAAGUUGUUAUGUCAUUCAAAAGCACACUCCUAGAUACCUGUGUGGUUUUGUAGAAACACAUGAGGGAAAGAAAAGAAAAAGGAAGCUUUCUCCAUUUAAAGUUAUAAUUGACCUUCAUUCCAAUCUAUCUUGCCAUGAUAUUGGCUAGGCUCUAUUAUAGUUUUGGUGUUUCCUGAUUAACAGCUUAGGCCUUACUUUAUUUUUGUUUUGUGAAGGGAAAUGUAUGUUCAAAACAAACCAUAUAUGUUUCAUUUUUUACCAUACAAAUGGAAAUUACGUGCCUGUUUUAUACCUGCUAGUGAAUUUUGUCCUGAGCAAACAAAUGAUUUCUCAAAUUGUGAAAUGAUAAUAUGAUAUAGGGGUCAAUUAUGUUGCUACAAAUUUAUGAGAGAGUAAAGGAGUCUUCUUAAAUUGAGUAAUACUAAUAACAAAUUAGUACAACAAGCAAGUCUUUCAACAACGGACAGCCAUCACCAAUCUGUUUCCUUUUUUUUUUUGUUAACUUGAAAUUUAGAUUAAGAAAGAUACGCACUCAUGCAAGGUCAGUGAGUGUCGUUAAAUUCAUUAAAAUUUACAAUGAAAUUUACGUGUAACAUUUAAACUUGAAUUCAAGUCACUCAACGAAUGCGAGCUAAAUUUCAAUAUUGGUAGAAUGUGUAUGUGGGGGGCAUUUAACAAGUAAAAUAAAUGGUAUUUUCCUAUAUUUUUCUUGAUUUUAUACUUUCAUUCCCUCUAAUAUAUGGUGCAUGUCCAUAGUCAUUCAUUCCACUUAAAAUAUUCUAGUGGCACCAAAUAAGACACAUAUCAAAUUGCCACAUUAUAUUCUUCUUUCUUUUCUCCAAUCUCUCUUGCCUUGACUCUCUCCCUCUUCCUCUCUCAUUAUGCAACAUUAUAUUUUGCAUUUGCAUUUUUUAGUAUUAUUAAUUUACAAAUUUUUGUAUACUUUGGAAGCAUAGCAUGACACGAUCCAAACUUCAGGAAAGUUUCAUAUCUCAAAACUCCAAAUAAAAACAUGUGGGACCAAAGAUAUGUGACUUUUUGUAUUAAUCCAUACAACAUUACUUGUUUCCUUACGUGCUAUUUUAUCCUAUAGUAUAAUAUUAAUAAUUUAGCAUGUUCUUUUUCUAUUAGAAGGAAAAAAGUAAGAAGCAAAGAGCAUGUGGUUGUUUACCAAUAAUAAGCAUCCAGCUCAAUUUAUUCAAGAUAGGGCCUGCCUGAAAUUUCAAGUGUUCCUGGUUAAUCGACAAGUUAGUGCUCAAUGAAUAGUUUGAACUUUUUUUUUUUUUUUUGGCUGAACUGAACUUUCUUUCUCCUUGCAUUUUUUAUCGCAAAAUCAGAAUGAUAAUCUUUUCAUAAACAGAUUCUCUAAAAAUUUAAAUAAGUUUUUGAUAGAAAUUAAUGUAUGACUAUAAAUAUCUUCAAAGAACUUGUUAUUCACAAAACUUGAUUUUGAUCGAGCAAUUAAAACAUUUGUAACGAAUUCUUGGUUUGAAUAGAAUUCUAUCAUCUAGACCAUAAGAAUUAUAGUAUAAUAUUUUAUUUGAGCUUGAAGAAACUUUUAAUAUGAUUUCAAGUUAUUAUUAUAGAAUAAUAAUGUUCUAAUACUGUGAGGACUAAACAAAAAAUCUAAGGUUUUUUCUUUAAAAAAAGAGCAAUGAUAUUUGAACAUUUAAAUUAUGACAACUUAUGUGACAGCCUCUAAAAUUAAGUGUUAAUUUGGUUAAGAGAGAGAAAGAAAAAACUAUUAUAAAACUCCCAUGAGUUGUUUUUAAUGUGAUUUUAUAAGCUGUCAUAUAUAAGUUGUCAAAAUUUUGAUGUUCAAAUAUACUCUAAUUUUUUUCUUUUAAAGGUUUUUGUAUGUUCUAUAUUCUCAUAACAUCUAUUAAGAAAGUCAAUUGUUUGACUAUAAUACACAAUUUAAAAUAGUGAUCCAUGUAUUUACUAGACUAAUUUUUUCUUCUUUUGAUUUUAAUUAGUUUAGUGAUGAAACAUACACACAAAAUGUUGAAAAGUGAAGAAUUAUAAGUUCAAAACGGUAUCACAUCAUAUCAAAUGUUCCUACAAUCUUUUACUAUCAAAUUGUCAUGGAACAACAAACUCGAAGUUUUAUUAAAUGCAUCGUGGGAGAUUUUAAUCAUAUAUUAUAACAAACAUUGAAAUAAAUCUGUUAGUGUUUUCAAUAGCACAAUUCUCCCACACUCAUCAUCUGCUUAUACCUUGAUGCACUCCAUCUCCAUGUCAAGAAAAAAAAAAAGCUCUGAUUUGUACAAAGUGUGAAGAGACUCUAAUGACUUAAUUUAUUUAAUUUCAUUCUUCAAUUUUUAUUUUCAUAGCUAGCAAUAUCGCUAUUUAUUUCUCUUUCAUCGAUGAUAUAUAAAAAAAAAUUCUUGUCAAAUAGCCCAUUGGUUAGAGAUUCACUUAACAAUUAAGGUGACUGAAGUUUGAACCAUAAUCCUGUAUAUAUUAUACAAUGUUUUACCAAUUAAGUUAAAUCCACGAAACUUUUAUUUUCUUUUUAACUUUUAAUUUCAAUAUUUAUAAUAUUUCUGCACAUACAAGAUGAUACUCCUUAGAAAGUGGGGCACCGGCGGCGUGUAACAUUUUAGAUUGUAUUGGGUCGUAGUAAAGCUUUAAUAUUUAAGGUUAACAAAAUAAAAUAGUUUGGUUCCUUCAAAAGAAAAAAACAAUUGAUAGGACAUUGCAUUAGUAAAUCUUUAAGCAUUUACUAUUUUUUUCUUCAACUUAUCUUUAAUUAAUAGUAUCUGUUUUUAAUCAUUUUAAUCAUCUUUAUAAGAAAGUUUUGGAUCGCUCACAGACAAAUUACACGGCUGGCUACCGACACAAAGAUAUCUCACGACCCAGUGUAAUAGAAUAGGGAUUAUUCUUUCUUGAUAUUAGUAUGAAUAUGUAUAAAGGUCUUCCACUACCAAAAAAAAAAAUGUAUAAAGGUCUUCCUACUUCCUAGUAAUUGAUUUAAGAACAUCGUUUAUUGAUUCAAAAUUAAACAUUAAAAAUUUAAGCAUAUAUAAUAAAAAGAAAAUAGUAAGUAGCAAGUGUUUAAAGAUAUUGGUUAAAGAAAAAAAUUGUAUCGAAAAAUAACGAAAUUAUUACUUAAAUAAUAACAUUACUUAUAUUUUUAAGAUAAAAUUUCUAUAUUAAUCUCCUUAACUGGUGUCUGAGGCACUAGUUAACAUUUUUCUUUUUUAUUAUAUUAUCUAUUAUCCUGUGUCUUGUAUAUACUCUCUCGCAGCAUGACAAACAGUUAAGUAAAUUGCAAGCUAACAAAGCCUUCACCACCUACUUAUUUGAAAAACAUACUUGAUCAAUAAUGAACCUUCCUUUUCAUUCAAUUUUCCCUUUUUUGAUUUCUUGUCAUCACGUUCCAAUAUUGGAGACCAGACCAUUUCUUUAAUUGAUGAAAAUCAAUCAUUGGUUUAUAUGGACUACCCAAACCGUGAUUGGUUCAAAAUCUUGCAUGAUUAAGGGGUUUCUAUAGGCUUUGCCUUUUAUUUAUGUUUAAGAAUAAUAAUGUCCUAAAUAAUCUUACUUUUGAUAUGCACAUGUAUUUGGAGUUUGGAAUCUGCUUUACAAUUUACAUGCCAGCUUGCUAUAGUAUGCAACAUAUGUAUGAGGACAAGAAGUGACAUUAAACUGGUCCCAUUACACUUUAGUUACGUAUCGUUCCAUAAAAUUCACUUCAAUUUUAAAUGCAUGUAUUGUACUCAUAGUUAUGUUUUACAAUUAAAUAGUCUCUUUAUAUGUGUUCCUUUGUGAUUAAUAUAUGAUCCAUCUGGACUUGAGAUUUAUGGUCUUGUGGUGAUGGUCGGACUCUAAACGGUAGCUUCUUUCUCUCUAAAGGGGUGAUAUGUUUGCAAACAUUUCGACAAUUGAGCAAGAAUGCAUCAAAUAUGCGAGAUUUUUAAAGUAGAAAGAGUGUGUAUGUGAAAGAAGGUUAUGAGUUAUUCUUUAUAGUGGUGAAUUAGGAUUUUUUUAUUCUUUUAAUCCUAAUCCAGACAACUGACCAAGAGGGACACAUUUGAUCAUAUUAGAGAAAACAAACCUUGGAUCUAGAACGAACAAUCCUGAUUGGCUUACAUGACCCUAAUUUGAUGAAUUUAGGGCAGUUCCAUAUUGUGGUUCGUGUAUGCGCUAGUGGCUUGAAGUGACUCGGUUCGCUAAGGAAAUGGGCCCUGACCUAGUUAGUUCAAAUAUACACACAUGAUAAAAGAUUAAAUUACAUCAAUGUAAUGUUAUACCAAUACUACAUCGCUAUGCAUGAUUUUUUUUACAUAAUUUUAAAACCAUUUGAUACAUUAGUUGUUGGAUUAUGAGGGGAGUCGAAUGGAUCAUUGUUGGACCAAUAACAGUCACACAAAUGAGUUGAACAUCAUAUCUUAACCUAAAACUUUAAAACAUUUCUGUUUAUGGAUUCCCUCACUUUAUAUAUUGUUCAAUCUUUAGUUUUAUGUGAGACUUCCACCUCACAUUUACUAAACGUUAUUGAGGUGCAUAGUUUAUGAUUAUUAAUUAAAGGCUUAAUAGCAGUUUUGGUCCCCUAAGGAAAAAAACUACAAAAUCGCCCACUAAGUUUUGCAUUUGUGGCAGUUUUGGCCCCCAAGGCCAAUUUUGACUCGGUCUACGCUGACGUGGCACCCUAAGUGAGGUGCCACAUGUUAUUUUAUUUUUUUUUGUCUUGGGGGGCCAAAAAUGCUACAGUUGCAAAACUUAAGGGGCGGUUUUGUAGUUUUUUUCUUAGGAGGCCAAAAUCGCAACUUCGUGGAAGUUAGGGGGCGAAAACUGCUAUUAAACCUUAAUUAAAUUGUCUCUUAUAUAUACAUAUACAUAGUGAUACAAUGCCACAAGUCCUAUUUUUUUUAGUACUUAAUGUGUUUGAGUUUUGUUCCUAAGUUUUUUUUUUAAAUAAAAUAAUUUGAUUUUGUAUGAUACACAUGCAUUCAAUCAAAUUCACGAUGAUGCCACUAUUUUAUGUUAGUUCCAAUAAUAUUUCUACAAAUACUAUGUGUAAAAAUAAUUAUGUUUGCACAAUUGGACCAUUAUAUGAUUGGAGAACUGUCAAAACAAAAAUACAGCUAAGUUUUGUCAACAUAUGGAUACUCAUAAUGAGUUUCAGCACUUUCUUAUCCACAUCGGUUUGAAAUUUGACCCACUCACUAUUUGACAUUCGACAUACUUAUAUGCAUAAGCAAAUUUUGCUGGCUAUGGCAACAUGAUUUCCUCCUUAACAGUAGCCAUAAUUGUGUCCAAUUAUUGACUUCUAAGUCUCACUACAAUUAUUUUCUUGUUAAAUUAUUACAAUAAUUUCCCUUUAACUUAAAUAAUCAAUUUUUUUUUUUUUUACUAUACCUCACAUAUUGUAUGUGGGAAUCAAUUUGACUUUCUCUAUACAAAAGGAACUCCCAAAAUGUUUCUCUAUCUUUAUCAUCACUAAUUAAAGUAUUCAAUUAAUCAAUGUAUGCUUAUAUUCGCUAAGAUUUAGAUCUUACUUGCAACAUUUUUUUAUUAACUUUUUACCCACUCUUUAAUUCAUUCGUCAUAGUUUUCCAUUUCUUAAGAAUAUGUCCUGCAGGUGGCAGCAGGUAAUCAUUGUUAAUUUAAUUUGAAAAUUGGCUGUCUCAAUGUGAUGCAUCACUAAAGUAAUUGACUCAUAGCAUAGGAGCAGGUAAAGUCCAUACUUUCUUCUUCAAUUCCUCUUGGAUUCUAGCAAAAAGAAAAAAGGAAUAAGAGAGAAGUCUAAACUUACAUUCGUCGGUUAUUUUUAUAAAAGAGACUAAUCUCUCACAACAUUAACAAAUCGUAGUUAUUUGCUAUCAAAGACACUUACAUCGAGCAUAAUUGAGUUUGAGGAGGCAUGUGGUUUCAGGACACAUCUUGAACUUUGAAAAAAAAGGCAAAUAGACCUUUGUAUAUUUUGCGUUUUGAACUCCCUUAGAUAUAGUUCAAAAGAUCUAAGAAUUCAAAAGUUUGAACCCCUAAAUUAGCGUUCUAGUUCCUCCACUAUGUGGUUUCGAAUAGAUGAUUAAAAUAAAUAUAUUAAGAAAAAAUGAUAUAAAGUUUCUUUCAAACUUAUCCAAGAUCUAUGUUAGACCUAAUCCGAAUUACGAGUCCAUCCAGAGUUAAGGAUUUCUCAACAUACUCUCCUCUUAUCUAGCCAGUAAACUCAUACCUAGUCUAAAAAUGUAAACGUUGUUCAUUUACCCUAAGUAUUGUGCAAGGGCCGACAAACCCUUUAAACCAUUCAACGCCUUAGUCUUGACUGAUUAACGACCAUGUGGUCGUCGGUUCGAUCUCCAUAGCCAAUGUCAAUGUUCCAAAGAUCAAGUCAUGCACACUUUUUUUGAUGCAUUGACCACUUUAAGUCUUGUAUAAGACCUCAAGUUUUGUCCUUAGUUAAAAGACGUCUCGGUAGGGUGAAAAGUGUAAAUGCUUAUAAACUACCUUAAUCUUGGUUCUCAAACAAUGUGAAAUUUUUUGGAGCACCGGAAGAGAAUCCAACACUUAAAAAAAAAAAAAAAAGCAUUAAUAUUCAACAUGUAAUAAAUUACUAAAUAAAUGAACUGACGUUAUUGAAGCAGUCAGAAAUCCAAUAAUAUGGUACUCACCAUAUCUGUCCUAUAGAGACAUUCCCAACUAACCUAUUUUAAAUUAGACUAUAAACUAGUAUUAAGUGCAAAAAGAUACCAAAGUAGCAUGUGUUAUCACCUAGCAUGUUUGUUAGCUGCAUGGACCAUAUAUCUCUAUCGUUUUCUUUGUUUAAUUUACCUAAACCAAACAACUAUAUAUAAAUCACUUACCACUGUUAUGUAUUCAUCAACAAGAGAAAUACAAGUUUUUCAAGUAUCUCAUACUCUUGUAGCUGCCAGCUAUAUACAUAUGAAAAUGAGAAAUCAGUGUAAUUACUUCAAGGUUUUGAUUCUUUGUAUUUUAGCAGCAUCAACUCAUGCUCAAUUGGAGCUAGGAUUUUAUACUAAAAGUUGUCCAAAAGCUGAACAAAUCGUUGCGAACUUUGUUCAUGAACAUAUCCGCAAUGCUCCAUCACUUGCUGCUGCAUUAAUAAGAAUGCACUUUCAUGAUUGCUUUGUUAGGGUAUGAAGUUCAAGCUUAUUUAUAUGAUUAUGCUUUCACUUCAUUAAAAUUUAUUUGCUAACAUUAAGCUUUUUAAUUCAGGGAUGUGAUGCAUCAGUCCUUUUGAACUCAACAAACCAGCAAGCUGAAAAAAAUGCUCCUCCAAAUCUUACAGUUAGAGGCUUUGACUUCAUUGACAGAAUAAAGAGCCUUGUUGAAGCUGAAUGCCCUGGUGUUGUUUCUUGUGCUGAUAUCAUAGCUUUAUCUGCCAGAGACUCUAUUGCAGCUACAGUAAGUGCUCAAUUCUAUCUUUAACAGACUAAGGCCUGUUUGGAUUGGCUUAUUUAAGCUUAUCUACUGUUUAUAAGCUCUUUAAGUAGCUUAAGAUUGCAAGCUUAUCUACUGAUACAUUUGGUGAUUUGUGAUUUCAGGGUGGUCCAUACUGGAAAGUUCCAACAGGUAGAAGGGAUGGAGUCGUAUCAAAUUUGUUGGAAGCAAACCAAAACAUUCCUGCUCCAUUUUCUAACUUCACCACCCUCCAAACUCUCUUUGCCAAUCAAGGACUUGAUAUGAAAGACUUAGUGCUCCUAUCUGGUAUAAUUACAUUCAACAAUUUCCUUAGCAUUAAGCACUUUCGUCGUCCACGCUAAAUCACUACAAGAAAAUGUUACCGACAAAAAUUAGAGACAGAAAAAUGAAAUAAUUUGUGACAAAUUUUUAUUUCAUUUUAUCUUAUCUCUAAUUUUCGUCGCUGAUUCAACAUUUUCUAGUGGUGAAAUAUGUGGUUUUAACUUUAAUGACCAUAAUUUGAAAUUUUU